CCCGAUUCUCCGGCCUGUAGUACCCAGUGAUGGGAUCUGGGGCCCAGGCAGAAGAGGCCCCAGAAUCCUCUCUCACCGCAGGCGUCAAAUCAUUUUUCUCCAUGAUACCAGUCCGAGAUAUGGUCCCCAAGGGUGCUGCUGCAGCAUAUCCUCUCCUGUCCAUUUAAGAAAUUAUUAAUUAUUCUUAUUAUUAAAAGAAAGAAAGAAAGAAAGAAAUCAUUAAUCAUAUGUGAAAGAAAUGAGAAUUAUCUAACAAAGAAAAAGAUUACUUUAAAGAGUUUUUAUAAUUCACAUGGUGAAACAGAAUCAUAUGAUCUAGCUAGCUUGCACCACAAGUGACGCAAAGGUUCAUUGGGCAUACAAAAAGUUGCAAGUUUCUGCAAACCGAGGUGUUAUUAAUUUACUAAAAGCGCUAAUAAUCAAUCUGCAAGUGCUUGAGGUUAUUGAAUUAAUGCGUUUAAAACAAAAUUAAGCGAUUUCGCCUUUCCAAAGUAUUUGCGGAGGAACAAAUAUGCAAGGUCCCGUAUAAUAUUAAGGAAAGAUAAGGGUACAAAAUAAUAUUUAGCCCAAUUGAGACCGUCCCAAUGUUAGUUUACCUUUUGGCCCCUCGUAUUCAUGAUUUUUAUGUUAUAACCCUCGAUGAAUCCGAUCUUUUUAAAAAUUUUUUAUUUUUCACAUACGAAAGUCGAUCAAAAUCACAUGGCGAGUUUACAGAAAGGCUACGUUUGUUUGUUUUUUUUUUUUUUUUUCCCGAAUUCGUUUGUUUGUUAAGUUAUGAAGAAAAAGAAAAAAGAAAAACAUUUGGGAGAUGACUUGAUCUCUUCUAAAAUGUCACUAGAAAUGUUUAGAUUGAUCAAGAAACAAAUAUAAACAGCUAAGGAUUCAAUGAUGAUGAGAUCAAGUGACACAACGUAGAACAAGAAACAAGAUAAAAUUAUCAUUUCAAAGAAGAUCCAAAAAGAGGGAGAGAGAGAGAGAAGGGUUCUGUAAACUGACCUGCUAAGGGUUCUGUAAAAUGUCACUAGAAAUGUUUAGAUUGAUCAAGAAACAAAUAUAAACAGCUAAGGAUUCAAUGAUGAUGAGAUCAAGUGACACAACGUAGAACAAGAAACAAGAUAAAAUUAUCAUUUCAAAGAAGAUCCAAAAAGAGGGAGAGAGAGAGAGAAGGGUUCUGUAAACUGACCUGCUAAUGGAGAGCGAGAUGCCAUCAGCAACAGGAGCAAGAAGAAGCUUAGCUUUGAAGAGAGAGCGGGCCAUUGUUUUAUUUACUUAUAGAACUUAAUAGAUAUGAAGAUAGCUAGCUGGGAUGUUUCUGUACAGUGCUACUACAGAAGAAGAAAGAUUCUGCUCCUGCAGUAGCUAUAGGCAAAAGCUAGCGGCUCGCUCUCUGUGUGCUGUGCUUGUGAGGAAGAAGGCUUUAGGGUUUUCUGUUAUUUUAUAAAGAGAAAGGAGAACUGUGAAGAGGCGACUUGUUGGAUUUGGGUUGGGCCGUUCUUUCAGAAGACAAAAGAUCUUGUCUGAGUAAUUUGACACGUCUUCUUAGGAGUUGAUGAUUCAUCGAAUCCUGACACAAUGUUAUUAUUAUUAUAGUACUGAUAUCUGAUCCAAGAUAAUUUUCAGGGCCACUAAUGUCGUUAUUUAAUAAUCAAUCAUCUUGAAACUUAUCUCUUUGGUCUGAUUAUCGGGUUCGUGUCAUAGACAAAGAAAAAUCAAACUUAACCCCAAAAUAUCUUUUCCUAAUUUCAAAAUUCUUUCUCUUGUUAUCUUUUAUGCAAAAUAAAUAUAUAACGUAACUGUUUUAAGAAGUAUUCAUGCGAUUAAUUUGAUACGUUCGUUUUUUUCUAAAAUAUUUCCUCAAAGAGUUAUUAUUAUUUUUUUUUAAAUUAUUGGAAGGAUUGAGUUGGUGUUGAAUAUUGAAUAUUCCUUUGAAAGGAAGAAAAGUUUGAGAAAUAUUAAUAAUUGUUUUUUUUUUAAAAGAUUAGAUGUUGAAUAAAUUCUGAUUUGGUUCUAUUUUAAGAAUUAUUUUUAAUAGUGAAAACGCACAAACCACAUUGAAUAAAGUAUACGUUAUCAUAUAAAAGGAUGUGGUUAAUUUAGGGUUAUUCUCAAUAAUUUAUGAGUAUUUGAUAAUUAAAUUACAAUUGAAUUAUUGAGAACAAUUUUUAUAUAGACAUUAAUUAUAUUGUUAUGCAAAUUAAUAAAUUCUUUAACCAAUGACCACAAAAAAUUACUGUAGUUUAAAUAGUAACUCUAAUUUUAUUUUAAUAGUAUCUUCUUAAUAUUUAAAUAUAAGUGCUCUAUUUUUUAUAUAUAUAUAUAUGGAGAGACACAGAGAGUAGUAAGAGAAUUGUUGCCGCCGGAACUAAAGUUUGUGGCUUGUCGGUAGACCGAAGCGUAUGAAAUAACAACAACCGUCCACGUUUGCAUGAAGCUUUUGAUGAACAUAUAUAUAUUUUGUAUGGGGCGGUCUUGAAUCGCGAUGACAGGUGUUAAUCUCGACGCAAUGAUGAUUCAUAAUGGCCCGCCAGGGCCAUGAUCAGUGGGCGGCCUCCCUUGGAACUUCAAAAAAGUUUCUACUUUCUUGCACUAAACGUCUCUCUUAAUUAUGAGGCUUAACAAUUAGCAACCACAUAUGAAGUCGGCCAUCAUCAUCAUCAUCAUCAUCAACCAAGCAAUACUUCUUUACCAAUUACCAUUGCGUCAAUGCGAUCCGAGUGUGUAAACACUAAUUCGGAAGCUUCAAUUCAGUCUUAGAUUCCCGUUGAAUUGAUGAAUAUGCCUAGUUGUUCAAUACAAAUGGGAAACACCAGCUUAAACUAAAUAUUUGUUAUUAUUCAUCAAAUAACAAAAGAGCUAGCAGUGGCAGUUUUUUUUCUUUUUUUUUUUUGGGGGGGGGGGGGGGGGGGGAGGUGGGGGUGUGUUGUUUAAUACUUCUAAUAAUGCUUUAUCUGAUACAUGAUGAGUUGAGGACUGGGGCAUGGAUUGGAAUCCUACAGGUUUCAGCAGGAUGCCAAGAAGAGUGUUUCCGACGAUGGUUAAAGGGGAGAACAAAUCACCGGCCGAUGGCAGGUUGCUGUUGCAGGCGGCCAGCGGGGUUUUGAGGACUAAGCAGCAGUCGUUGAGUAGUGAAGAGACCACAAUUUGCACAGGAUCCAGCACUAUUGAAAAUGACCCUGACUCACUUGUUACUGCAGUUGAAUUACCAUUUCCACCGCACUGCAAUUCCACCUUUGCAUCUGAAAAAGAAUGAAAUAUUUGUAGCAUUUUCAUAAUAAACUGAUUUCUUUUGUUGUUGCAAUUGCAAACAUCAUUUUGGUAGCACCAAUACUAAGGAGGAUAGGUGGCAGAGCAAAACCUCUAACUCUUUUGCUUAGGCGGGGGAAAUAAUAUCGAAACAACAAAACUAAGAGGGUCGUAAUAGAAAAAUAUAAAAUCAAGGGAGCCAAAGUAAAAUUUACAUGAAUGAAAGGGGUAAGUAAAUGAUGCUUAGGAAUUGCUGCUUACUAUAACUUUACUUGGAAAAACAGGGGUUGCUUGUCCGAGGUCACCAAUGUUUCCAUUGACAGUGCAAUACAGAGUGCCUUCAAUAUGGAUUAAGCCAAGAAGGGUGCCUAUAACCCCACCUUGUGCAUCAGCCAUAAGUGCUCCCAUUGCAGCUACCAAGAUGACAGCAUAGACAAGUGAUUUCAAACGCAUGGCUUCAACGUACGAUUGAUCGAUAGUGAUGGGCAAAUUUAAUAUAAAAUUGUGAGGAAGAUAUUAAGAGGCGACAAAUGCUUGCGUGGGUGUGCCGUGUGUGCGCCGUCUGCGCGACCCAUGAUCAAUGGCCUACUAAACGCCAUUUUAAAAUAUAUUAAGAGGUUUAGCCAGCAAAGGCAGACUCGUCUCAUCCGGUUAAUGUGAUCCGAGUCAUCUGCUUUCAUGAAACUGCUUUUGGUGGAUGUUUGGGACUUCCCAAACACACUCUUGAGUUGAGCACCGUAUAAGGCUGUGAUUGGUGUGUAUUGAAUUGAGAAAUGUAAUAUAUAAUUAAAUUUCAGUUACACACAAUUAUAAGCUCAAACUCAUUGAAACAAGAGACUUCGUCAAGACAAAAAGUCAAAACCUUUGACAACUAGAGAAAGUAAUGCAAGUCGCUGCACACUGUUGCCCAAUUAUGAACGAAUGGGUUCGACUUUUCUAAGUGGGUAGAUCUCGUAGUUCUUGCUUUUAUUUGAGUUACGGUCGUUAGAAUCUUGAUCUAUACAUAUGCUAUAAUUAUACUGAUUUAGAAUUUUGACAAACCCCUUUGAAUAUUGUAAUGUCAUAAAUUGGAGUAUAAUACUUGAAAACCAGAAAAAAAAAAAAAAAAAGCCAUGUAUUGGUCCAUAGUUUUACAAAUAUUAGCCUUAUUCAACUCUUUUUUAACAAUCACUCUCUUCUCUAAGUGAUUUUACUUCUACAUGCAGGCACUUGAAAUCUGUUUAGUAUUGAAGUUGGACAGUUCUAUAGUAUUAAAAUGUUUAAUAAAUACCAAUUACUGUGAUUUAGAAGAUAUGAAAAUUUAAUCCAUCACUUGUAUAAUAAAAAACUUAUAAUAUCUAUACUAUUUUUUUUUUCAAAAUUAUUAUUUCAAAAUCAUAUUUAUUACCUACAAUUAAUUUUUAUUUUUACAAUUAUAAUGUUUUUUACACAACAACUACUUAAAAAGCAGAUCACCUCAAAAUCAAACAGGAUUUUGGUGUGGCACAUAAAUAAAUUAUACAAACAACAAAAAGAAUGGGAGAAUAUGUUACGUGAUUUUUUUUAAUAAUUACUUGGAUUUAUAUUCGCAAUUCCAAAUAGUGCAUCCAGUGUUUCAAUGGGAAUCUUAUAAUAAUUUUGGAAUUAUAUAAUCAUCUUAUAGGCUCAUAUCACCGUCUAUUUUCACAACAAUAAGGUAAAUUGUUAAGAAACUGUAACAUGAUCAUUUACUGCAAAUGAAACUUGGAUGCUUGCUCUAGCCCUAUGCACUUUUUUUUGGUUCCAGUAUUCAACUACUACUAUUCAUUAAGCUAUAUAUUUUUUUGUAAUUAAAUUUUGAGCUUACAUAUGUCGAAAAAGUAUUUGAGCUUAGUCAUUAAUAGUUCACAAGUAAAGAUGGAAUGAAUAUAUAUCAUAGUUACACUUGAAAACACAUGCUUAUAAUAAUACAAACUUAAUUACUUCCAAAUGGGACUUGCAAGAAAGUUAUUACAGCACAAUGGCAACAACUAGUUGGGAAAUCAAAGUACUAUGUACGUAAUAAUUAUUGGUCGUAUGGUGGACCUUAUUUAUAAUAUAAACGAGCAGUGGCUUUAUUCUUCUAAAGCUUCAUCGAAGUUCAUGGGAUGAAUUGGAAUCCUGCGGGAAUGGUGUUAGCAACAUUCAAGAGUGUUCCCAAGAAGAGUGUUCCCAAUGAACUGUAAAGAUGAAAGUGAAAACGUCAUUGUGUUAUUAGCAAUAUAAAUACUAAAGGAACCAGGAUAUGUUUGAAUUUUGUUUAUCUUUUAGUGAAUUUAGCUUUCUUUUUGUAUUUUAAAAAUUAAACAGUGACAGAAACAAAACAUUUAUGAAUUUUGGGCAUCAACUUACCGGGAAAAGCCGGGGUUGCUGUGCCAUUGACGCCCAUGUUGCCAUUGGCAGUGCAAAAAACAGUCCCUUGAAUACGGAUUAGACCAAGAAUGCCACCUAUUAGCCCAAAUUGGGCUUCAGCUAUAGGAGCCGUCACUGUAGCAAGCAUGAUGGAAACAAAGAGAAAUGAUUUCAAGGCCAUGGUGAGCUCAAAGACCAGUGUAUUUCUAAUUUGUGAACAGACUUGCUGCAGAGGUAACCUAUUUAUAGCAGAUGGGGAAGGCAAGUUGCUGCAGAUUAAUAAGGCUUGUUUGGACAGACUCCACUCAUUAGAUGGCUUACUAAAUUUAGAAAAACAAUAAUCUUCUUGUCUUGAGAGUUGAGUUAUUGAUAUGAAGGUCUGAUUUUGUCAUGAAGCUAGAUCUGACCAGUGACCUUGCAUGCGUGCCAGCUUUGUGGGGGUUAACCUACAAGGCUGAACUAACUGAGAGCCUUAUAAUUCAAUCUUAUAAGAAUUAUGAUUCUCUCGUGAUGUGAGCUUUCUUGAGUUUUUAAAUAUCGAGUGAUAAUAUUAUCUAUUAGUGAUAAUAUAUGGUUAAAAGUCUGCACGAGCGGUUCUACAUUUAUCCGCAAAAUAAUUCAGGAUGUUAGGCACUGAAAAGUGAUGGUGUAUAUACAAAAAGAGGUUGGUACACAGUGCGAAUUGGUGAGUUGAGAUGCUUCCAGUUUGGCUUCACCACAAUCAAUAGUAUGGCAAUUGAGAGUAAAUCAGCCAUGGUAUGCUAAAAUCAUGAUCAACUUAGACUGAAAGUUAGAAAGUCGUUAUGAAAGGAGGGAUAGAAUCAUGGCUAAGAGAAAAUAAGGCUACAGUUGUGAUGAGCAAGUAUGUUUGAAGUCCCUAAAAAGAUGACUACAAAGAAAGUGCAGAAACAAACUAACAAUGUUGAUCCGCAAGUAGCAACUGCAACAACCAAGUCAUAUCCUAACAACAUACAGUAAACCGCACAACAGAAUAAACAGCCUGCUAAUAAUCCUAAGGUUUUUGGCUUAUUCAACUCGAGCUGUUACAGCAUUAUAUAAUCAACCCAAACCACAAAUCAACAACAUAUUAAAUGACAACAUCCUCCUUCCAUGGAUAAAGACUAACUAAUAAAUGAAGUUCAAUAUCCAACUUAACAUUGUAAUAAGGCAAAAGUAAAACAAAGGCAUUCAAGAUGCAAAAAUUUCAUAUAGUCAACUUGCAGAAGGUACAAAAAAGGGAGAACCUAAUAAAAAUAAAGAUGAUGAAAAUCCCACCACAUGGUUUCUAUUAUAACAAAUGAGACAAAAACAAGUGCUCAAAACCCAAGUUCUAAUCUUCCUCCUCACCCUCAUUCUCGGCAAUAUUGAAGUAUCUCAAUUCAUAAACAUUCCGGUCCUUGUUAGAUGCAAUCACACGAAGCCAAUCACGCACAUUGUGCUUCUUCAAAUACUUCUUUGUCAAGUACUUUAAGUACCUACAUAAGUGCUCAACUCAAUCAAUAACAGAAUACAACUAAAUACAUGAGCAAAGUUCAUUUUACCCUAAUUCCAAAAUUUCAAUUUCUAAACAGACUAAGUGUACCUAGUUUCAAGUAAAUUCAAAUUAUUUCAAAAUUUGUAAGAUAUUCUGAAAUUUGUCAAAUUUAUAGGCAUAAUCGUUGUUUAUAGGUAUUCUUCAAAGAACAGAAAGAAAGUCACAUUCUUUCAUUUAUUAUGAAAACCUAUUAAGCCAAAGCGCAGGGCAGUUUUAAAAGUCGCUUCAAAAGUAAGUACCUUUUGGAGAAGUUGGAGUCGGAGGUAACGGUGAUCUUAGUCUUGUCACGAGUGACGGUAACAGUGUCACCAAGGGCGCCGGCUUUGCCGCCAACUUUGAUGCGCUCUUGGAGGAACUUUUCGAGGGAAGCAAUGUCCAUAAUCUUGUCCUCGACAGGCUUCGCACAGUCGAUGGUGAAAGUUGCACCCUUCUUCUUUCCCUUGGCUCCACCGCCGGCCGCUCCUCCGCUUCCUCUGCUCAUUGUUCUUUCUUCACUUGAUUGAUGGUUCCUACAGAAAUCAAAACGACGACGAAUAAAGUAAGGAAAUUAAGAACGACAUAUUGACGAGGGUAGAGAUGAGUUUGUUACCUGCGUGCGUGGACGAUUGGGGUUUUGGUGCGCCGCUGUAAUGGGAGAGAGAUUUCCGAGUUAGGGUUAGGAUUUUAUAUGGAGUGAGCCACUGUAUUUUGGAAGCAAACACAUGUUAAUGGGCUGAGGCCCGUAAUAUUGGAGAGCUCAUCUGUACAGUUUGUUAGUGAGCCGAGGCUCGUAAUCUUGGUGAGCUGAUCAAUCUGCUUAAAAAUUAUUAUUCUUAUUUUAUGAUAUAAAUAAAAAAAGUACUUCUAAAAUUUCGAAAAUUAUUUGAAAAUAUUUUCCGGAAACAUAACUAAUGCUUUUAACUUCCCGUAAUUCUUCUAUUUAAUAAUAAUAAUAAAAUCUCGUAAUUACUGAAUAGCUUCCGUCAACACCCCCCCCCCCCCCCCCCCCCCAAAAAAAAAAGAAAAAAAAGUCUUACAGCUUACAACUCUACUAUCGCAUUACUCAUCAUAUGAGAAGAAGUUUUCUUCUGAUUUCAAAAUGUAUUUACUUCUGUCUAUAUCUCAAUCCGUUAAUACAUUUAAUUAUUUUCAUGAAAAACACACCCACCAAAUGAGGGUCUUAGGCGAAGUAUUACUGGCCAUCAGCAGCAACAACAUUCAGCGCACUACAUCCAAUUAUUUAGUGUCAAUACCACCCAGAAAAUCUCUAAACCAGACAUACCAUGAGAGUGUAUGCAUAGAAAGUAAUUGACACUUAUGAUCCUCGAAACUAUUUGUUGUGCGAAUUGAAAAGUGAUCUUCAAGUUUCCCCUCAUAUUUUCGGGAAAUAUUAAACGUCACUCAACCAUCAGCAUUCAACAGAAGAUUAUUCGUUGUAAUAGUUCAUGAAUAGAUGAGACUGCCAAACAAAAAUUUCCAAUCAAUUCGAGGCAUUUCCAAGAAAAAGGAAAAAGAGGCAAAAUAGAAUCAUCCAAACAAUGUUUUCUUCUCCAUCUAACAAAAAUUGUUCCCAACAAUUCCCUACCUUCCCACAUCUCCCUGCUACUACUCUCCCUGUUUCACUUGUUUCUCCUUGCUGCUUCUGAUUUAUCCGAUUUACUGUAACGGGGGGCUGGCAGGGACGUCGAGGGUAGUUCCGGCUUGAAUCUGGCCCCAGCCAAUAAGACGCCAGUGCUUCUCAACUCUUCGACUGAGUGCAAUCUUCUCCCCCCUACUGGUGCACACUGGAGAUGUAAGUUGGAGUUUUGCCAAAUCAUUCUUUACAGCAAGAACUCUAGCUCCGGUCGACAUAGAUCCUAUGUUCAGCAUAAGAAUCUCUUGUUUGGCAAGUUUGGAGACCUUUCCCUGCCUUUCUGAGCCCUUUGUCCUCACACCCAAAAGCCGGCGCAAUAGAAAGAAGUUCACCUGAAACAUCAGGCAUCACAAUUUUAAGCAUCAGUGGCUCUCCUCACAUGAGAAUCUUGUUUACCAAACCACAAUUUCUAUUGAGAUCUACUUUCUACACAGAUAAACAAACAGAUAAGUUGAAACAUAAUAUCUCUAUAAGUAAAAUAACAUAUAUCCCAGAACAAGAGGUAAUUGCACGACAUGAUUAUUCCACUUGUUAAAAUCCAGCUGACCACAUAAACACAAUACCAUAUAUAAUCAAUCUAAAAUAUCAUAAAAAGCUUUUUACCUCAAGCUCGACAAAAACUUCAGGGAGUGACCCAACCUCCCCAAGAACCUGACCCACCAAUCUAUCCGCACGUGUCAAAGUAGGGUCCAUGGUUGUACCAACCCCAAUGAGACCUCCUGGAACUGCAAAUUGUAACUCAUUUUGCUCAGCAAACAAUGAAACUAUUCUCGAGUAUAUAGGUGUGCACUUGAUGUUCCCGGACUCAUCUUUGACAACAAUACCGGGACGAACCUCAAUAAAUUGGUUCACCUUCAGAACACCCUGGCAAAAAAGGGGGGAAAAAAUCAGCUUGAGGGAAAAAAAUGUAUCAUCCAAGUUUUAAGCCAACUGGAAUCAUCAAUCAUUGAAACCAGAGUCGGGGACUGUUUGUGGGAACAUAACCUAUCCACCAUUAGAUCUUGCUAAAAAAAUUUUAUCACCAAUACAUCUGGUAGAUGUAUUCAUAAGCUAUAUUAAUUAGUUUAAUGCCCCAAUUUCUUUUUAAGAUUAGGAUUUUAUCAUCCAUACUACAGUUCACAGUCAAGUAUACAACAACCUAUAACAACAAGAAUACUCGGUAAGAAGAAUGGCUGUCAUAACUGGUUCGCUGAAAAAGAAACAUACCCUCAGGAUGCUGCCACCAGCAACACCACCUCUUAUAUCAUCAACCUCAAAACCAGGUUUAUUGACAUCAAAAGAUCGAAUUACAAUCAUAUUUGGUGGAUCAAUAAAGUUCCUCUCUGGAAUGGGAAUCUUUUUCACAAUAUAUUCGCAUACAACAUCAAUAUUGUACUUUAGCUGUGCAGAAAUGGGAACCACUGGUGCACCAUCAGCAACAGUUCCCUGGUACAAAAAAUUGCAGGUUGAAAUUCAGUUGAAUAGCAUAGGAAAAUUGCACCAAAUGUAUACGCAUUAUAUACAAGCUGAAAUUAGGGAGAAAUUUUUCCAAUGAGAAUGGUCUGAGAAGAAACCUGGAUAAACUUCAUGAUAGCUUCAUGUUGGUUGAUGGCCACAUUUUCCUGAAUGAGAUCAACUUUAUUUUGAAGAAUUAUUAUAUGUUGGAGACGCAUGAUUUCAACAGCUGCCAAGUGCUCCGAUGUUUGUGGUUGCGGGCAACUUUCAUUGGCUGCUAUGAGAAGCAAUGCUCCAUCCAUAAUUGCUGCUCCAUUAAGCAUUGUAGCCAUAAGAAUAUCAUGACCCUGUCAACAGAAAGAUGUAGAAAACUUAUCAGCAUAAAUUGACCCCAAACAAUUUGCAUGAAAAAGGGGUAUGCAAUUUCUAAAUAUACAAACAUAAGAUAUAAGACAAUCAACUUGUUCUACUUAUAUUCCAAGACUAUGUUUCCACCUAAAAAGUACCAGUAAGGUCCAAGUCAGAUCAAGAACAUCACAACGGGGAAGGCAACCAGAUGGCCAUUCAAGAAAGAUAUCAUUGUUAAUAUCCCCUCAUUAGUUUCUACUUAUUAAAAAGAUCCAAAGACAGGUUGAUCAAAACACAAAAACAGUAAACGUAACUCAUCCUUUUUUGAGUAUCUGGAAAAAUAUACAAACAUAAACACACCCUGCCAAUCCAUGAAUACAUCAUCAAAUCAAUUUAUAUACUUUAAAAUCCAAGUCUCAAUAAUAUAUAUCAUAAUCAAACAUCAUCAUUCACUUACCGGGCAAUCAACAAAAGAGACAUGCCUAAGCAAUUUCAUCCUGCAGUUCUCAAAACCAGGCACAUCGCACAGAGGAUUAUCUUCUUUCCCACUUCCAUAUGCCCUAAAAAAGAAGGCAAAUUACAUAUUAACAUGAAAUUCUGGAAAAUCACAUGACAAAAGAAUUGCAUCUGUUAUAAGCCACCUACUUAUAGCACAUUGGUCGUGGGCAACGAUCAUCUUCACAUUUGUAUAUCUUGGCAUUUGCAUAUCCAAGCUUGAUAGUAAUGUUACGCUCUAAUUCAUUCUUAAAACGAACAGUCUACAAAUAAAAGGCAAGGAUUAUGCAAAACCCAUUAGAUUAUGCACGCAAACAUCUUGUCAUAAAAAUUAAAGGAAUAUUUCAUAAUCUUGACGUAGACAAAGGCAUAUUAACUCAACCAAUCAUAUCUCGUAUUGCUUCCAUUAUGCUACUUGAGCCAACACAAGAUUGUCAUCUAUUGACUCUGAGUGAAACUAAAUCAGCCUGAAUCAAACAAACAAUUCAAGUAUUUUCCACCAAGUUUAUCAGAGGACCUUUAUAGAUUACUCAACCGAGACACAAAUCCCCAUAUGAGAGACUAAAAUGUAUACCGAGCAUGCCAUUGAAAGGAAAAUUACAAGCAGUAGAAACAAAGAAGCCACAAACCUGAACACCAGAUAUUGCCUUCACAACAGUUGAUUUGCCAUGGGCCACAUGACCGAUAGUUCCUGGAAAAAAAAAAAAAAAGAAAGAAAUCCACCAACAAUCAAUUUCAAAUCCAAAACAGAACCCAAUCAAGAACAAUAACUAAAACUUAUUAAAUCCAGCUUUUGAAAUGAAAGUGUCAUAUUGCAAAGAUUUACUCAUGGGAAAGGGAACAUUACCAAUAUUAAUAGUAGCCUGGCGAGAAAUGACUUCAGGAGAAAGAGGAUGCAACUUAGUUACAUCCAACUUACUCAAGUCCUGUUCCAUCAAACCCUUCCGUGACAUCUUGCCUGUUUCUUUGAAAAUACCCCUCUCCUUAUUGUCUGUAUAGCCACUAGUAAUAUUUAAGCCCGUAAAACUUAAUGGCCAACAAUAUAGUACAUAAAGUUAUAUUAAUCAAUUAGGAUGAAGCAAUAAUAAAAACUUGUAGCCAAACACCAUAAUUAAAUACACAAAUAACGAAUACAAACGAAAAAAAGAACACCCACAAAAACCCUAAUGAACCAAGAUGCAUAGAAACCCUAAAUUCAACACUGAAAUGAAAACCGGAACAAAUUGCUCGCCAAAAAAAAAAUAAUGAAUAUUAAAAAAAUGAAAAAUAAACCCUAAUGAACAAGAUUCAUAAAGAAACGCAGAAUUCAACGAUAACAAAUAAAAAAAAGAACCAAUAAUUCGUGGGGGAAUAAUCAGGUGUCAGAGCUGAAUCAGCGAGUGAGAAAAGAAGAGCAGACGGUAAUAGAAGCGGACGUACCUGAUUGAAUGCUGAGCAAGUUGCGACCGGAGAACGACUGCGAGACCGAGAUUUGACUGAGGUUUACCGCUAUAUUGAUUGUGAGAGGGUGUGUGUGUGAGAGAGAAUUUUAGGUUUUGGGGGACUUCUUGCGAUCCCCGCGGGGUUACUUUUGUAAAUUUUCAUUGGAUUACAGCUGGCCUUAUUGGGUUAGGUUGUGCCCAACUGCCCAUGGGCCUUGUUACGCAUGGUAUUGCGCAAAGGAUAUCCGAAUUGUAUUUGAUUAUAUUCGUACUUUCUUCAACCCCAAAAAUUAAAUUUGUUAUUUGUACUUACUUCGGCCCCAGUAGACCAAAUUAACGUUCUGUACUUGAUUAAAAUUUUGCUUUCUUCCAUCCCAAAAAGAAAAUUAAUUGGCAAUUUUUUUUUUUCUCACGUGCAGUGGUAUUAGACAGGCUCGUUCGUUAGCUUUAUUUAAAAAUUAUGAUUCUUGCUCGCCAAGCAAUCCUAAAUAUCCCAAGAUCAAUUGAAGGAAUCUAGCUAGUUUUUAUAUUCUUAGCAAACAUAUUAAUUGCUCGAGAAACUUAGUCAAAUUGAACACUUUAAGCCCUUUGUUAAUUUUGAUAUCUGUUACUUAGAACUAAAGAUGGUAGUGUAAAUAAUACAGUGUUUAUACUUGAAAUGGGAAGUCAUUACCUUAAUGUCAUUUGCAUGGAAUGGCCAAUAUCCACCAACAAUAUAGCACAAUGCUUGAUAUAAAACCAAAAACCAAUACUAAUUAACCACGAAUCUACAACAUAAAAAUGGAUUAAACAACUUCUCUCAGUGGAUAUAAUUUCCGUUUUUCCCUCCAGAAGGGCUUCAGAAUCUGCUGCUAAUUUAUUCCAAAAGCAUUCCACUUUAUCUUUUAUGUUUUGGCAGUUCGUUCAUUUAUACCUAUUUAUAUAUCUCCAGUUUUCCCAACAACUCAUGGGAAUUUAGUUAGCAGAGUACAUCGAAGAAGAAGUGGCAUCACCUCCUCCACCAGCAGCAGCAGCUUCCUUCUGGUCACCAAAAAUUCGAUGCCGGAAGUCGGCAACCAUGAGAGGAAGCCCCUUCCGGAGGGUCACUCUUGGCUCCCACCCAAGAAGCUGUUUAGCCUUUGUAAUGUCUGGCUUCCUUUUAUGUGGAUCAUCCUCUGUGUUUGGCCUGAACUCUAUCCUUGCAUUUCGGUCUAUUAUCUCUUGGACGACCUGUGACAUUAUUAGUAUAUAUAAACUCGCAGAUUAAUGAUAUCAGUCGUGUGUAGUUGGUAAACGAUGGUCCAUAAAUGCAUUAAUGAACAGGAUACCUACCUCAGCUAGUUCAAGCAUGGUGAAUUCACCAGGAUUGCCGAGAUUAAAAGGACCGACAUGAUCGCCCUCCAUUAGCCUUAUUAGGCCCUCAACCUGUAGAAGGUAGAUUGUGAAAAUAUAACACAAAGAGUUCUAUUCUUGUGGUCACCAUAAAUAACGUGCAUGUGUGUACUGACUAGCUGCUCAGAGCAUGCAUAUAAUCUAGAGAACAUGACAGCCAAAAAGCCUCCCCCACAUAACGCAUUUACUGUGGUUUCAAGUACAAACACACAAUUUACUCCAGUAGAUACCAUUCUGUAGAGGUUUUCACAUAGUUUUUACUUGUUGGCAUCUCUUUCAACAUUUCAAACAAAAUGGUCUUAAUUUAUACACGGUACAUAUAUACCAGUGGUCGCUGGUGAGAGGGAGAUGACACACCACAGUUCACAAAGCGGACACCAGCCAAAUAAUUGCACGGAUUGACAAUUACUUUUCACUAACAAAUGAAAAGCAACCUUAUCACGGGUAACCAACAACGUCCACAAUCACUUAGGAUCUUUCCCAACGAAUUGUUUAUAUCUAUGAGUGCUGUAUAUCUAGGGUCUGUGACAGUGUGACGUAUCAUUAUCUGCGGAUCAUAUAUAUAGAGGCAGAAUUAUCAAGUGAGGAAGCCAACAACACAUGUGGCGCAUACGAUCCCGUACUCUGUGAUAGUGUCGUCCGCCACAUGAGCUUAUUCUAAAUGAAGCUAGAUAUUAGUCCAUUACUAACGCUUUUUUGUCACUUACCAGGUCUGAAACGAAUUGGAAACUUCUAGUCUGUUUUCCAUCGCCAUAAACAGUCAAUGGCUCCUUCCUCAACGCCUGCCCAAAUUUUCAAGUUUAUAUUUAAACAUGCAUGGAUAGUGCCUAGUGGGCAACUUCAUGAAUAAAUAUAUUAUUUAUAUCACAUAAAUUAUAGGGAGAAAAUUGCUCACUUGGGCGACAAAGUUGCUCACAACACGACCAUCAUCAAUGCACAUUCGUGGUCCAUAAGUGUUAAAAAUCCUAGCAAUCCUCGCCUGCAAAGCAAAACAAAUCAAAUACAAAUACAAAUACCCAAAAAAAAAAGAAAAUCAAUUAUCUUAUUGAACAUUACCACAUGCGUUACAUAUAUCUUUAAUAAUAAGGAACAGUACGUAACCUCAAUUCCAAGUCCUCGAUGAUAGUCCAUGGUCAAGGUCUCUGCUGUGCGCUUGCCCUCAUCAUAACAGCUUCUUACACCUGCCAAAAAGUCAAAUAAAAUGGAGGAAAUCCAAUGGGGAUGAUGAAAUCAAACGGUGGAGAGUUACUCACCGAUAGGGUUGACAUUGCCCCAGUAGGUCUCGGCCUGCGGAUGCUGUAACGGGUCACCGUACACUUCACUAGUGCUUGUUAACAAGAACCGUGCCCCAACUCUUUUAGCUAGCCCUAACAUGUUGAGUGUCCCCACCACGUUCGUCUUGUUCACCCCCACCGCACGCAAAAAUAACAGUCAAAGGAAUUCAAACUUCAAACAAAUUAACAACAGGUUUCAACAAAAAUAAUAAACAAAUUAAUUUUAAUUUAAUUUUUCUACAUGUUAAUGAAAAAGGAUAUGAUGGUCUUGACAGGAUUGAACUUGUAAUGAACAGGCGAGGCGGGGCAAGCAAGAUGGUAGAUCUGAUCAACUUCUAGAAGAAUUGGCUCCACGACGUCGUGUCGAAUGAGCUCGAACCGCGGGUUACCAAAAUGGUGAAUCAAGUUAUCCUUUUUACCGGUAAAAUAAUUAUCAACGACGAUGACGCUAUCACCUCUAUCCAUCAGACGGUCCACGAGGUGGCUCCCCACAAACCCGGCCCCACCCGUUACCAAAAUCCUCAAGCUCUUUCUUUGUAACCCCAACGGCACUUUGCCACCCGCGUUUACGUGUUGUACCUCCGCAGCCUCGUAGAGGACACGGCGCCGACUCAGGUGGGUUGUCUCGGACGUCGUCAGAGGAGCCGGGUUGGCGAUUUGGUGUUGACGUACGGGGAGUUUGCUGAAGAUGAGAGAUGAAAUGGCGAUGCCAAUGAAGAGAAAGAUGAGUCGUUGAGAACGAAGCACGUACUGAACUGGGUUUCGGAAACUUUUAACUGAUUUCGAAGGCCUUGGUGAUGAAUCAAGGCCAAUAAUUUGGUCUUGUGUUUGGCUUGUUUGGCUUCCAUGGAUCAACUCAUGAGAACCCAUCUUUUGUUUUCCGAGCAGAAUGCUUAUAGUUCUAGAUUUUCUCGAGAAAAAUUUGAAAGCCAAAGAGUUAACGUCUGUAAUAACUUUGAUGGAUGUAGAGAGAGAGAGAGAGAGAGAGAGAGAAUAUUGCUUGAUUGGCACAGCAGCAGUAGUUGUGUUUCUGCAUGAAAUUAGGCCGCUUAAUUCCUCUUAUAGGGCCGUGCUUGUUGCUGCUCUUAUGGUUUUGCAUUUAUGGUGCCAACUUUUAUGCAUUUUUGGGAUUCACUUUGCUUACUAUAAGGAGUUCAUGUGUGAGCAUGCAUUUACUUGGAAUUUUUUUUUUAAAAAUGUCCAAAAUUUGGUUAUAUAUUUAUAUAUACACGCACCUGUUUUUAUUGUUUUUGUAGCCAAUAAUCAUUUUUUGCAUAAUAAUGCCCAUACUUUCGGCAGUGGCAAUAAACAUUGUUAACUUUGCUUGUCGACUGCGGUAGUUAACUUGUCAUAACACUUUAAAACGAAAAAUUAAUUGGACAUUCUUCUAGUAGGACGUUCUUGUAAAUUAACCUUGAUUUCAAGUUAUUUUAGUAAACUUUCCAAAUAUUUUAGUUAUUUGAACCCACCAAAUUUGUCUCUACACCCAUUUUAAAAAAUAAAUUCAUUAUUAAAAAUUUAAAAUCUUAAAAUUAUCCUUCACUAAUCUUUCUCUCUGUACCUCACUAUUGCAUAGUCACUCUCUACUUUUACAUUUUGCAAACUAAACUUUCAAUUUCAUUUUCUUUUGGAUUUUUUUUUUUCAUUUCUUAGUAAACAUAAUCUCUAUUUCAUAUUUUUUAUAUAUAAGAUAUUUUUUUUAAUAUUCAUUAACUUUCAUAACUGAAAAUUUUGAUAAUUUUUAUUUCUGAAUGAUGGAUUUUGAUCCUCAUAGUUUAUGACAACUUAUAAUGAAACUAAUUAUUUGUUGUUUUGUAGUUUGCAAUUAAAAGAAAAUAUAUAAGGCAUUAAUGAGAAUUGAAGAAUUGAGAAUGAAAAGAGAAAGAAAUGAUUAAUUAAGUAAUUUCAUCAAAAAGUAUUUUAAUAAUAAAAUUGUUAACUUGAGAAAAAAAAGGCGUAGAGAGGAAAUCGGUGGGUUCAAAUAGUCUCAUGCCUUACCCUAAUAUAAUAUAUGAGCAUUUUUUUGACAAAAGUUUGUUAAAGUAUGAUUAAUGGUACGAGAUAGAGAUAUUGAAUCCGUAUGGAAGUGUUCAUGUAUUAGCAUUACUUCAUAUUUAUCUAUAUAAAUUGAUUCUCACCUUCAUCUCAAGAUCUUGAAGCUCCCAAUUGACUGACUGUAAGAAGGUAGCAAAGGUAAUACCUUCAACGUACAUAGACUUUAAUUGUUGCGAAGACCGCACUUUGUCUACACUAAAGACCGAAAUCGAAGAAAAUGGAGGGAAGAAAAAGUAGGUAAAAGAUCACAAUAUUUCAACCGUCAAGGGUGGCAAUGAUACUGCGACUAGAGACAAUGAGUGCACUAAUACUAGGGCGUCGGUUGUAAACCCACCUGCUAUAUUGUCUCGGAAGCAAAGGUUUGAUUGCCAGUGGAUUUAUGGACAAUGAGAAUUUUUGCUUGCUUUCGAAACAUUAGUAGUUUAAGCACUGUGAACCUGUAGAGACUAAAAGAUGCUUAAGAUAAAAGUUUCUGCUUUCAACCUAUUACGGGGGCAGCAGCAAAUAUUUUAAUAAUUUCACAUGAUCUCUAAGCCAAAACAACUCAAAGAGCAGCCCAUUUUCACGAGGCAGGCAAGAUUUUUCAUCUUUUUAUCUUCGAACUCUCAUCCUAACCGGGGCAAGAACAUAAUCAUUUGUUAUUGAAGUGGCCCAACCGCAACAUAUAGCUAAAUUAAUUUUACAUGUUAUUGAACACUAUGAAACAAUAUGAUACAUGACAAAUCAAAGCAGCAAGACUAUGGGUAGGAUGAGACUAGAAUCGCCGGAUAUCUUUUGGAGGCUUAAAGUUGAGGGGAUGAGUUUCCGGGGUGGCAGUUUCAUCUUCUCUCCACAUUUUGAUUGUCUUGUCAGCUUCACAUGUAACAAGUCUUGAACCAGUUACAUCAUAGGAGAGAGCAUAUAUACCCGCUUCACUGUCCAAUGAACCUGAAACAGAUAAUCAUUCGACAUUAGAAAUUUUCCCCAUUUUCAACAGCAGCCUUACAGCAAUAAAAAGAAUAAUUGUAAAUGAAUGAAUAAAUAAAAUUGGGUGAAUUCUGUAUAUACCAGGCUGUACAAUUGUUUGGGCUUGCUGGAAAUUGUGACCACUUUUCCAAUCCCAGAACCACAGACUCCCAUUGUCACCUUCAAUUACAUACAAGCAGCCAAUUAGAACAUACACAUACAUGCCACAACAUCAGGCCUGAUAUCAUCACAAUUGAAUUCUGACUUUUAUAGAAUCAAAUGAGAAGCAUAUCAAAAGUGUAGCAAGUACAAACCUCCUGUAGCUAAGACACCCUCCUCAUUGACAGCCAUGGAGUUAAUGAUAGUUUUCUGCUGUGAGCUGCUCAAACGAACAUAGAGUUAGGAACUGAUAAAGAAACUAAGACAAUUCUAUAAUAUCCAAUAAACAUACAUUGGGAGGUCUCUGGAUAAUGCAUCAUCAUGAUAUUCCAAGUGCAUUAAUUAAAAACAAUAAACUCAAAGCACAGUCUCAAAGCAAUACUAAGACAGAUGAGUAAUCUCGGUGUAAGUUUAAGGAUUACAUUUCCCAAGGAAUAUCAAAACAAACACUGUUCUAGACAUUUAUCAGAGUAUAUAGCCAAGAAGAUUACUAACUAGAAAUUAUUAACUCAAACGUUUACUUCUCUGAAUUUUUAGACUACAGUUAUCAGUCAGAAUCUCACUAUAGAAGUACCAAACAGAAGAGAAAGUAAGGAGGGAAAGUUAAAAAAAGAACAAACCAAGAGUAUAUAUGCAGCGAAGGAAAGCAAAUCUCAUCUACAGUCUAUAUUGAAAAUAUAGGUUGUUUGAGAACUUAGAACUUACAGCAUGUUGUGUAGAAACUCUCCCUUUGGAAGGUUGAAUUUCUUAAUAUUUUCAGCUGAUGCAGAAGCAAAGCAAUCCCUGGAAUAACAGAACAUAUUAAAGAAAAUUUAAAGACAUCAUACGUAGUUUAAGUACGAUACAAUCAAUCACGGCUCUCUGGCUUCAUAAAGGUAACUGAUAACAUGUCCGAGAACAUACUCUGUAGGAUGCAAAGCCAUUGCUCGCACAGAUUUCUUAUGGUGUGUGAGAGUUAACAUCGUUUUCCCUACAAGAAAAAAGGAUUUGAAAUGUUAAUUUUCUUAUGCAAAAAAGAGGAAAACUAAUAACAAAAUGAAUAAAUAAGUAGCUACCAUAUCUAAGAUCCCAAAACUUAAUGGUUGAGUCGUGGGAGCCAGUAACAACUUGUGGAUCCUGGAAAUGAAAGAAACACACUAUAGUUUAACUAAAAAAAUAUUAUUAAUGGUCAUAAAUAGAUUAGAUUACGUAAUAAGAGCACCCUAUGUUCUCCCUUUGAAUAUGAAAGGCACAAUACAAUCAUGUCAUCCACAAAGAGCCAUUUCACUUUAAAGACCAAUUAACAUUCCUAUGUUUUUUGCUACAACCAUGGCAUAAUUGAGAAUCUUUCCAUCACAUUUGUUAUAUAAAGCAGAAUGUUUCAGUUAUACUUAAUCUGCAACUUCACAAUCUCUAGCAUGUGCAUGCAUACUCCUGAAAACCUCAAGUCUCAGGGUCUAAGCAAACAAACAAAUAGGAAACCCCAACUAAGAAAUGAAACAAAACAAGCAGCAAUGAGAAUACAUAAAUAAACACCAGAAUCAUCUAAGACAAUUUUUUCCAACACCUGAACACAAAAAAUGUUCAUACCGUAGGUCGAGUGAAAACUGAGCAAACUGUAUUAUCAUGCCCAGCCAAUGCAAAGAUUUGCAUUUUUGUACGAAUAUCCCAGACCUGAAAAAGUGUUAUAACAUCAAAAGAUUACAACCAUUUUUCUAUACCACAUUCAGCAAAACUACAUACUCCAUUCAGCGAGCAACGAAUUGCACUCACAAUAAAAAUGUCAUAAAACAACAAUAAAAUUUAUACCCGGCAAACAGAAUCACGACCCCCUGUAAGCAAUAUGUCAAUGGUGGGAUGAAGACCCAAGCAGUAAACACCACUUAGAUGGCCAUGAUAAGACCGGAUAACCUGUAAAGCAGAUUAAAAAUUUCAACACCAAAAUCACUUGUAAAAUGGCUCAAAAAAUUAAUUUAACAGGAGUAUUUGAAGUUCUGACCUUAUUUUGUUCAAGAUCCCAGCAUUUAACUUGUUUAUCAUCACCGGCAGAGAACAUAUAAGUAUGUUUGCUGCUAACAGCCAGACCUGCAAAUGAAAGAAAAAAAAUGACCUCAGAAUUUUGUUCAUAAUUCAGAAAGUAUUAGCUAAAAGCAAUUUAUGACUGGUAAAAAUUUCCAGAAACUAACCUCGUACUUGUUCAAUAUGUCCUGUUAGUGUCAACUUUAGUGUUCCUUUUGCUACAUCCCAUAUCUGAUCAAGAAAACAAAUAUAUAAAUGGAAACAGUCAAGCUGGAUGUCCUAAGAUGAAGCAAUUAUUACAAUGUCAAGUUCAAACCAUUCACAGUUUUUCUCAUUUUCAAAAAGAAUGGCUGCAAUAAUUUAUCCAGUCUCAUAUGCAACGAAAAUCAAGCCUGCUUAACAGGUGAAUUUCAUCCGCAUUUUUAUCCACUAACAGAGGAUUAGAAAAAGAUUUAUGAUAAUUAUCAGAGUUUAUGGUGUGAAAAAGAACAGAAAAGUGAAAAGAAAUCAAAUAGCAAUCGCAACAUUGAGAUAAGUUAAAUAUAGCACAAACAAGCCAAAUAUCUAAACAACACAUAACCAAAGAAACACAUAGAAGCUAACAGGAAAAUAGUUCAGAAAUCAGACAUAAAAAUGAAGAUUAAAGCUCAAACCUUAAUUGUACGAUCUGCAGAGCCAGUGCAAAACCAUGUAUUGCUAUGAUCAAAUGCAACAGAUCUUACCCAUCCCAAAUGGCCACUAAUGACCUACAAAGCAAAAUCAAUUUAAGCAAAUAUCAAAUGAAGUCUGUUGGCAAAUGAUUGAUAAAUUAGAAACACACAGGAACAUGUAUGCAUGCACACCCAGACACAAAUAAACCAGACAAAGGUUAGUGUCAAAUUUAAAACCAUUAGGGAAAGAUGAAAAAUCCGCCUAUGCAGACCUGUCAGGUGAUAAGCCAAAUUCAUUAGCAGGGAUAAGAAAAUGAACAUACUAAACAAAAACAAAUGAAAUCCCAUGUUUGCUCCCUUAAAUCUUAGCCACAAAUGAAUAGACAUGAUAUUCAUUUUUUCUCUUCAUCAAAUUUAUUCAAUGACCCUUAACACCAUUACAAUAGUGCCCUUCUAGAUUUCCAAUAAUGGAAUGGGAUUAAAGGAACAGAAAAUUGAAUGUGUCAAAAAAAUACAUAUCAUGCAACUAUAAGGCUCAAAUUUCCCAGUUUCAGAUUGGUAAUAGAAUAAGUAGAGCAGACAAAAAAAUGACUGAAUGAACUUUUAAGCGUGUAGGGAAACCAUCUAACUAAAAUUUAUAUGAAUGGAAAGCUCAGAGUCAAAACUUAAAGGUAGCCAAAGUCCGAUCAAAACUUUUUUCUUUCCCCCCCACAUUAACACACACGCACACUACAUGAGACUCCAACCCGAGACCUAAGUCUUGGUAAGGCUGCCCACUACCCACUGGAGCUAGGCCUUGGUCUGAAGUUCGAUAAGAACUAUGAUUUGGCUCCAUUAAACAUCAUACACUACCUUUCAAUUUUAAAGCAGAUGAAGGUUCCAUGAGCACGCCUAGAUAAAUGCAUAUUUUACUAAAAAUUUUACAACAAAGAUUAUCAUCAGAAAAGAAACAGUUAAAUAUGAUUUGGCUCCAUUAACCAUCAUACACUACCUUUCAAUUUUAGUGCAGAUGAAGGUGUCAUUCAUCAGAAAAGAAACCAAUUAAACCAAACAACUUGCAUGUGCACAAAGUAACAAAAGAAUAAACCGUGUCUUACUCUGUAGCACUUCCAUGGAGCACGCCAUUCAGGACGUGGCCACUUGCUCGGGAUUCGUUCCAUUAUUGCAGAAGUUGAAAGAUUCCUACGGAAAAGAAGAAAGAAAAGAAAGUAUGUUUUAAGUUGAGAAUGGCCUGAUUAUCCAAGGUAGCACCAAUACUCAAAAUAGUAAGAGAUAUGUCAAGCAGUGCGUGGUUUCAGUUACUCAUAAAUCAUUAUAGCAGAAUGAAAGAAAGCACAACAAAGGAGAAAAUGAAAACCUUUCAGAUGAUGCAGAAGUAGAUACAAUGGCACUGCUUUUGCCUGAUGCACCAACAUUAUUUCUGCCAGAAACAUGAUAUUGAUUAAACCGAAGGCACAAAUAUGCUCAGCAGUGACAGGAUAAGAUAAACACACAUAAGAGACUGCUUUGUUAAAAAGUAAAAGCAUUGAAACAGAAGAGAAUACUCACAGUCCCUUAGGCUGCGCAGAUGGACCAACAACCAAAGCAUUUUGAGCACCUGCUUUCUGUGCAUCCCUAGAGCCCUCUGGCCCUAAAACAUAGUAAGUGCAAUAUUCUAAGCAAGGAUUCAAGGCACAUUGAAAUUAUAAUAGAUAACAUUUCUUUAUCACACUAAAAAACUCAGAAUUAACAACUCUAAAUUCUGAAGCAUCAAUUUCAUAUUAACAAAACCUGGAAGAGCAAGGACAUCUGAAGAUCCAGAUGGUUGAUUCCGAUGAGCUGUUGUAGUCGAAUUAACUUGACGCCUAGGUUCAUUGGUACUUUUAAUCCCUCCAUACUCAAGAUUUAGCUAUAAAUUCAGUCAAAAUCCAAUACAUAAGCCACAAUACAAUCACAUUGUCAAAAAAAUUACCGGAACAAGCAAAAAAGGAAAACGAACUAAAUAUUCGAAAACUAUACUCAAAUUUCUCAUUAUAUAAGCAUAACCAAUAUAUAAAUUAGACUAACCUUAUGGCUUAUGCGAAUUUUUUUACUGCAUGAACAAAAAAGAAAAACGGUAAGUUUGAACUGCGUUUUAGGAAAACGAAAACGGGAAAUGUAAAAGAAUGACAGCAAAGAAGAAAAAUUUAGGGUAUAGAACAGAAUGGUGGUGACCUUUCAGGAUCGGGAGGAGGUAAGCGGCCGUGAGUAGGGCUAAAGAGAUCGAGGGCUCGCUUUUGGGAUUUGAGACUUAGCUUCUUUAGUGAUUGUGGCUCUACCGGCUCUAAAUCCAUUGCUGGUCCGGGCAUAUUCGCUUCUUCUUCUUCUUCUUCGACUUCUAGCAACCGCUAGCUAGGGCUUUAGACGAAAACUGGAACAGAUACAGCGAGCGAGACGGACAGACAGAGAGAGCGCGAACCGCCUCCGGGUCAAAUUGUUUCGGUAAUUUGUUUUGCGAGAAUUUGUGGUUUUAAUAAUACGACUUCGUUUCUUUGCAUAGGCUUUAGCUAGUAAAGUGAGUGUGGGAUAGUCUGGAUCCGGUACCGCUUAUGAAAAACCGCUUUACAAACAGUGAGACAAAAUUACCAAAUUGUUUAAAAAAAAAAACACUUUGUAAUUUUUUUUAAAAAAAUAGAGGUGGGUAAAAUCUAAAUUAUCUUUUUAUCUCUUGUCAUCACAAAAUUCAUAACUUGACUAAUUAAAUAAAAUUAUUUAAAAACCACUCUAUCAAAAUAUUGAAGACUAACACUUUAUAUUCAUAUUAGCUGUUUAUAAGUUAUUUAUAUUGAUACUUCAAUUAUUAAAAGUUUACAACUUGCACCAAUAUCUUGGUGCCAAAGGGUGAAGCUAAGCCACCAUUAAUUUACAAAUACAAAUUAAAUUAUUAUUAUUAUUGAAGGCUUAAAAUUUGUUUUACCACCGAACCAAUGGCUUAAGUGGCAAUGAGUCUCAAAUUCUAAAACACGCUAUGAAUGACUAUAGGUUAAAAAAUAUUAGCAAGAUUUAUAAUAAAUUGGAAGUAUAGUAUACGUUAAAAAGCUCAAUUUCCUCGCAAUUUUAGUUCAUAUAUGCAUUAUGUAUAACAUAACUGAAUAUCCCAAUUUUGAAGUAAUAAUUAUCUUCUUCAAUUUCCAUCACGACUCCCACAAUCAUAUAAUGGAUUCAUUGCUCUUUUAUGCCUCAUGAAGCAGAGAUAAGGAGUAUUAUACCAAGUUGAAAUGCUAAUAAGACCAAUUAUGAUUCAAAACUAUGAUAGUAUUAUACACUAUUAUACACAGUAACAGUCUUUCAUCAGUUGCAUUGCUAUUUGAAUUCCACAAUAUAUAUAAUACAUAUAAGACACUUGGUGCCUUGAUGUUUUGCAUAACCGUCCCAAUGCUUCUUUUAUACUGGCAAUAGCUGCCUAAACAGAACUCCAUUGACGAUAUAUGCCACUUUCUUGCUAAAGUGGGAUCCAGCCCUGUUGUUGAUCAGGAUCAUGGAAUUAGAGCAAAAUUAAAUAAAUUAAAUUAUAGUGGAAGAAGAAUUAAAUGAACAAACCUUGAUUAGUCCUGUCUCUGUACCGCACAAGACAAUGUCAUUGGCAGUGAGGAGACUUGUUAUCUUGCUUCCUGCUGAUAUUCUUCCUACUUUCUGUUGUGUUUCUCUCAACCAAAUCUAAUUAAACGGUAUACAUCCGGAGUUAAAAAAAGUGCCAUCACUUGUCAAUUCAAAUUCUACACCUUAAACUCUUAAAAUGAUAGUUUUGGGGUGAAAAAUUUUGAUUAAGUGGAUGUCUGGAAGACUGGAACUGAUAUGUUAAUAGUAUAAGUGUAUGGGUAAUUGUUAAUAUUAGCUGCCAAGUAUAAGUGUUUACUGGGCACUUUAGUUGUUGUGCUUCCAAAAUUAAGCAGAAGCAUUGCUGUUACAAAUUUGUCCUAAAUACCUGAAGGGAGCUUGCAGAAGAGUUGCAAUUCAAGUAGAUGAAGUCUUCCACUACCGCCAUUGCUUGUAUAGUCGUUCCUUUUUCAGGAGCUAUUGAUAUUUGAGGCUUUCUGUGUCUUCUCCAUUCCUGUGAUGUUUCUUUUUAUCAGUGGGAGGUUCUUAUGCAGUAUAUACAUUUAGAGUUCAUAUAUAGUUCAUAAAAAGUUCACAUACCUUAAUAUUUGAUCCUUCUACACUCGAACUUGCACUAUACAGCCAAUCUUUGUACACAACAAGUGAAUUGAUAGGUUUAGAUUGCAGCCUCCAACUUUUAAAUGGUGCUUUAAUCUCUCGCUCCACAUUAUUUGACACUGCUAACUCCUGCAAUGGUUUAUGCUUCAGUAUAUGUAAUGUACAUAGUCUCAAUUGUUGAUGUUAGAUUUUCUGCAAAGCAAGUGUUUAAGACCAAACCUGUAUACUUGAGUCCAUGCAACCAAUAUAAAUCUUUCCUUGAACAACACUCAUGGACUUAAUGCCUUUGCUUCUGUAGGUAUCUUUCAAGGUUCUGGAUGAAUCAAUAACCUGGACAUGGAAACAACUCAAGUUAUAUUACUUCACCAAAAUUCUCAAAGAACCAGGCCAGUGUUAUCAUCAUUGCUUCUUAACAUUACUUUCAUUCUGUGGCCUUGUGUGAUUGCAAAUAUAGUUUUGCCAUAUGUGUCCAACUUUCGGAUAGGCUCUUUAGUUGCUAUAACUUCAAUGAGCUCUAAUUUCCUUUGGACCAUUUGCCAAACCUGCAAAAGGAAGAUCAAUUUCAAAGCAGACGGUUAAGAUUCUUCUGCUGCCAACAUAGGUGAACCAAAGAAAUUAGUUUCUACAAACAAAAAAUCUAACAUUCUACAUACCCUGAUGGUUUUAUCAGCAGACCCACUUAAGAGACUCUCUCCUGGUUCAAACAAAGAGAAACUUGUCACUGCCUUUCUGUGCUCCUUAACGUCCCAUACAAGCAUGGCUGAUUGCUUCUUGAUGUCCCACAUCUGAGUAGUGAAAAACACGUCAUAAUUUUGGUUUUCCAAUAAUACAAAAAUCUUGGAUGAAAUUUUGUUUAAUAAUGCUUAAGUUGUAGUAUGCUAUUUGAAUAUUUUAUACCUUAAUUGAACCAUCGGAGAACCCACUGCAAAGCAGUCCUUUAUAGUAGAUCAGAGCAGUCACAGCUCCACUGCAUUUGUGACUUGCCUCCAGAAUUUGAGUGUGGACGCAAGAAAUACGCUGCUCUUACCAUUGUAAGGAUAUGGUUUAGAAAGUGAACGAACUUUGUCACAGUAAUAAUUUCACAUCAAGACGUUUAAGGCUCUUAAAUACACACAGUAUACUCUCACAUGAACUUAAACACCAUUAUCAAUUUUCUAUUGUACUAACCGAUAUGUUGGGCAGGUAAUAGUCAGCUGCUUUAUGUAAUUCCUCCGCCAUCCAGGUUACAUUCGAAAGGCGUCGCAGUGAUUCUCGCACUCCUUCUGAUGAACGAAUAAGCUUUUGCAUUCCUACACCAAGAAAAUGCAUCAGAUAGCACGCUUAGCUAUUAUGUUACUUGUGAUUGUGUAACAAUUCUUUCACAGUAAUGGCAUUACCUUUGCCAGAAGCAUAGUUGUAGAUGCACAGACAAGCUAAAAGUCUUUCUUCAAGCUCCAAUCCAGGAUGCAAAAAUUGUUCAACUCCAUCGAGUAAGAUUUGGCAUGCAGAAUGUCUUACGCUAUUUGGACUUUUUGAAACUUCAAAACUAAGCCAUGCAAUUGUGGUGAGAGAGUCUCGACAAACACUCUUUGUCUUACUCUUCAGUCCCUUCUCGAGAGCAUAAUAGAUGGGCUUCCCAAUUUCAAUAAUGCUCUUUGCGAUCUUGCUGCUCCAUGAGUCUACUCCUCUAUCCUACAAAAUGAAUGUCUUCAUUCUACAAUCACAUGUAAACGAUAAAUCAAUGCCAACAUUAGUUUCUUUUAGCAUCUUACCUGCAGGCUUUGAUCCAACCAGUCAAAGUUUCUUAUCAUGUUCUGUAACCACAAUGAGUUUAAACCGGCCUUCUUCACAAGCCAAGCUACUGUGUAUGGCUCUCCUGUCCAAGAAAAUGUUCCGCCAAUGUUUGAUAGAAUGAAUGAAGAUAAUAGCUGCAUCGUCGAGCUUUCUUCAGAUGUUACUGCUUUGAGGAUUACCUGCAUUGCCUCUUCUGUGAACACACUUUUGCCAGAUGUAUUUGCCUGCAUAUAGUCAUUGCCUAUUUUAUAUCAGUUGAAGCAUUCUCUAGUAUUUUGUAUGUAGUUUUAUUCAGUUUAUAUAUACAUUUCAAAUUAAGCUUUUUAAUGAAGUAACCUGUAGGAUAUUAUCUAUAAUGCAGGCUACCAUAAUCAAGAAACUUACCAGUGUGUCUAACUGAAGCAACAAAUUUGCUGCCAAAAGUUGGUAAUCGGAUUGCAGUUGUUGAAGAGAAAGCUUUAAUAUGUGCGAAAUAUUUAUGUUUCCUUCUUUGUGUAUCCGCUGCAGUAGGUCUAUGGCUGAUGAUCUGAAGAAAAUGAUGAUUAAACCUAAGAAGGUCCUCAUAAUGUUCAAGUCCAGUGUCUUACAACUAGAUUGAAUGCAUGUUAGAUCUACCUUAAAUUGUAGUUACUAUUCUCAUACCUUGGUAUGCGAAGGAUCUCAUGAAAGAAUUCAAGUGCUAUCAUAAUGGCGCGCUUCUCACCACUCUGUAGAAGGCAGGCCAGUGGAGCAACAGCAGUGAAUUCAGACAAAUAUUUUCUGCAUUGUCCAUCGAACUGUAUGCAUUUUACAAGAAUUGUGGCCAAAGAGAUUAGUUCUUCCAGAUUUUGACGUCUUGCAACAUCUAGGAGGCCACAGAGGACUCGCGGAGAAUUUAUUGCAGCCAAAUGCAUGUUAUUUGUAGCAUAAUCAAAUGCAGUCACGAGUACUUCGAUAAUCAUCAGUGAUGCAGCAGGUGGUGUCAGCCGAACUGAUUCAAGCUUCCCCUUGUACAAUUUUGAAGUGCAUAUAACCUCCACCAAUGUCGGUAAGAGCUCUAAGGUCUUUAUUUCUGUAGGAGAUGGCUUUAUCAAGUAAAUAAGAAUAGCUGCCUCGGGCACAUUUCUUUUUAAAGCAGUUGCCAAAUCACUUAGCCUUAAACCCUUCUUCUUAAUGUCUUCUAUGACUGAUUCAUCUGCCAAAAUGAUAGUUGUUAAUAUAGAAACCGACGCUCUUAUCACUGUUUCCUCUUUGGAAGCUGAAAUGGCUGUUAGCAGUUGUUCCAAAAUCACAUCCUUCAACAUAUCAUAUUUCACUCCUGUUUUACUAUUCAGCAUCUUGUAAAGGGUUGUGACUUCUACAACAUAAUCUUUGUUGCAUUUCCUUAAAUCUCCUGAGAAAAACAAGCUUGAAAUUGCUUUCUCAAUUAUUUCUAACAAUUCACUUUUCGCAUCCUUUUCCCCGUUUAAACAUUCUUCAUUGAAUUUCUUCCUGCCAGAUGAGUUCUUUUUUCUUUCAGAGCUUCCUCGGUAGUCCAUUUCGGUAAACCUACAACUCUGCUGCGGAGAUGAAGAUAGCACGCAAUCAGAGGGCUGGACUUUAUGCUGUUUUGAUAUCUUGCCCUCUACAUGGCAAGAACCAUUUGAUAUCUUGUCCCUGAGUUCCAGAAUGGAUAAGUUGAAAUGCCCGCUAGAACUUAAAAAUCUUUUAGAAAAAUUCUUAUUGCUGUUUGUUCCAUUUGAUUCUUUAUGCAUUGGACGUUUGGGAGCUCGCAGGAAAGAAAUUUUUGUGGAUUCCGACCCUGAUGACGAGCAAUAAGCCUGCAGCUUUCUGCAUAGGUCGUUACCAUUGAAGGAAUCAGUAAAAUUUAAAUAUUAGUAUGGACAUUGUAGAGUUAGAUAUUCAUACAAAUGGUAUACGACUGAUUAGGAACCUAAACUGAUCAAAAUUUUCUGGGCGUCGAUCAACUGCACUUGUUCCUUCGUUUGCUAUUAAGCUUUUAACAAUCACCAUGUUUGCCUGAAAGUACAAGAAACAGGCAUGAACAUUGUAAUUAUAUUCUAAAUUACCAGAUCCUCAGCAAAUGGUCUUUUGGACAAUUACCUCAGAGUCACUUUCUUCCUCAAUUUCAGUAGAGCAUGAACCGACUGUAGUUGACCUGUCCGACUCAGACUCUUGCAGCAUAUCGUAGAGGCAUUUGGUGCUUGAUUUUUUUCUCAGCCCUGCAGUACGAAGUUGCAACCUCGGUACUUCAUCCAAAUUUUUUAUAUCUUUACCAUAUUCUUGAAUUUCUGGAAUUUUUCGGCAUGCCUUUGUUCCGACUGUUGUGUCAUUAGUUACAUCUUCUUGAGGAUCAAGUGGAUGCACCUUUGCAUACAGCAUUAAUUUCUAUGGCAUCAUACGAUAAAAUCAAUUUCUAGAGGCAAGAAUUGUUUAAUCUAAUGUGUUAAUAUAAGAUUCUUUGCCACAAAAUGAAGUCAAAGGCAUACAUACAUUACUAGAAGUUUGUAAUUUUGGUAGAUGUUCAAUUGAACUGGAAGAUUCAGACCUGCUGCGUAUCUCAUGCCUGCUCAUACACAUACACAUUAAUUCUUAUUACAGCUUGCAGGAUCACUCACAGCCUCAAAAAAAAUAAUAAUUAAGCAGGUAUCCGUAAACAAUCAAUGGAUUAGUAUGAGCACCAAGAGGAAACUUACGCAUGAUAUUGAGCUUCCACACCAGAAGACGAAACCUCUCUGUAUCCACAGUGCCUCUGAGGAGUCUCUUCGUGCAGAAGGACUUGGUAAUACAUUAGCCAAUGUUUGUAUCUCCUUGCGAUCAGCCUCAUCGCGUCACUACCAUUCGUCUCAUCGGAUUCCAAUAUCUUCCUUCCACUCAUUUCUUGAAGUUUAGGCAACCCCAGUGAAGGAAAAAGACACUUACAAAGUUCUGGUGCAAAUUCUGUUCCAAUAAGCCUCGGAUAAACCGAUAAUGCUUGAAGAAAAUGCAGCGCCACUUGCAACUCAUCCUCUUGUAGCUUCUUAAUCACAGACAGAUAAAAGUAAGCGCAGGAAACCAAAUAACAAUUCGGGAUUCCAGAUGUGACUUCUUGCUCAUCAAGCAACGCCGGUGCCUGAAGCAGUCUCUCAGAGUUACAUAACCUACGAGCUUUCUCUUCAGGCCAUUCCGCUUGAAUUGCAGCUUCGAUGCUAUCUAUACCCCAGUAAAGAUUUGAUAAAAUCGAGUGCUCAGAGAAUUCAAAGAACUCCUGCCUUUUCAUGUUCAGCUUGGAGGCACAUCUCAAUUUUAAAGCGUGCCACCUUUCAACAUGUGUAAUGAAUUCAAGAAUGAACUCAUUGAUUGAAACUACAAGUGCCCGAAUGAUCUCGAGGCCCGGUGGUUUCUCAUGGUCAUGUUGGAAGCUUGAUAAAGAAGAAAUGGAAGCCAUUGAAUUGAUAGACAUAAUGGUGCUACAUAAGCAAGAAGAAAAGUAUUAAUGCUAUAUAGCAGAUAAGAGAGAGAGAGAGAAUGAUAAUAUGUAAGUACUUGUACCAAAACCAAGUUCCCGUGACUGUUCCAGCCAAAUUCCAAAGAUGAUUGUCCCUCUAUUUCUUCCAUUGAAGCUACAGACAAAAUGUUGACCGUUGCUUCCGUUUGGGGAAGGAAAGAGAGGCAAUAAUAAAACAAGCAAUGCUGCAUUCAUCUUCACGUGGUCUCUCUAUCAUAUCCCUUCUAAGCCUUUGUUUGUUUGUGAAUUGUGUGUCAUUUACUCUUUGCUGUUUUUUGCUCUCUAUUAUUUGCGAAACAAGUAGCUAUAUAGCUCUUGACAAAAUUUUCAAAAUCAUGGAACCUCUUAAAUCAACUCCACUAAUACACAUGAAGAACUUAAAAGUGUGUAUUUAAAAAAAAAAAAGUUAAUCAUAAGAACCUUUUUAUUUAACAUUGAAUAUAGUUAUAAAAUUGGGCAGCUAGAGUUAUAAUUCCCUCUUCAGAUGGGGAAGAAAAUGUGGUGACGGCAUGUUAUAGAAGUUACUGCCAUUUCCAGAAUAAUGCUUUGGAAGUUUGUAAGUAAUUAGUUUUAACAUCUUGCAUACAUUUGAGACUUCUAAUUUAAGUUGUGGUACGGACUUAAAGGUGUCUCCCACAGUUGGGGUCCUCUCCAGCAUACCUCGUGAUUGAUAUCAAAAUAAAAAAUCUUGCAUACAUUUGAGUUCUAUUCAUAUCUUUCGUUGCCUCGAGCUCUGUACUGACAAGGUGCAAAUUGACUUGUCAGAAAAGGCUUCAUGAGAAGAGCAGAACCCAUGAGUCCAUGACCAUUCCAUAAACAAUCAGUCAGAUUUGGCUUCAGCUUCGCCCUACGUUAGUUUCCGAGGUGGAGUCUUUAUAUUUUUAGAAGCGGCAUGUGGGUCUGGCUCCGGCUGAGCCCCUUAGAUGGAGAGGUGGUACUAGUGAUGCUUUAAAUUAAUUACCCGUGUCUUUUGUUUGGUACGAUGGAGGCCAAUUUAUUAUAGCAUUUGUAGCCUGUCAUGAUAAUUACUUCACUUUCGUGAAGACGAAUAAGAAUUAAGAAUGCUCUCUUUUAUUUACGCAAUAAUACAUGCAUCGCUUUCAUAAAUAGUGUUAAAAAUUACAGGUAAGUUGGAGCUAACGUUUCGAUUUUUAUUAUUUUUUGGUUGAUGUCCUUCAAAUUUUAUUUUUUAUAACAUUAUAUAAUUUGAGGUGUCAAUAACAAAAAUUUAGAAAUUUCCCUAAAAAAAAAAAAAAAACCAAAGGUCAAUGAGCAAUGUAUUUUUAUUUUUAUAAUACAUUUUACAAGCAACGAUGUAUUGUAGAUAAUCCAAAUAUAUAAAGUCUUUUUAAUUCUUCUAAGAUAUGGUCUGUAUAACUCAAAGGUCAAUGAGCCUAAGAUUGAAGCCUAUUUUAUAAAUGACAAAUGUAUUGUGCUGUAGAUCAUGUACAUGUAUUAUAAAGAUCUUUUUAACAAAUAAUGGAUCCUGAUUUGCAUAAUUGAAUGACCAAACGUUUGAUGAUGCAUUGGGUCCGUGGGCCCUUGAUCCAGAUGGAAUGGACUCCUGUCUGUCACGGGUUCCGAUUGUCAUUGCAUAAUUGGAUUCUGAUUUCAUAAUUGAACGAUCACACGCACGCAACUAACAAAACAAAUAUUCAGAAAAAAUAAAAUAAAGAUCUUAAUACGUGUAAAUGAUCAAAUUACAUCUAUUAAUCUUGUGAUUGGAAAAUGACGAUCACGAAUGAUCACCUAUUUAACAUGGGCCCAAGUCUACGCCCUUCUUUAGAAGAAAUGUUCAAAUAAUCAGGACCCACAUCUAUGUCCUCCUUUACAAGGAAUGUUCAUCAUAUGGCGUAUUAAGCAUGGCAUCAAUUGUUCGAUUGCAGCCUUCUUCGGCAUGUUCACUUUUGUACGCUGACAAGAAUUUUUGCGAAAAAUUAUGCAAUUGUAGUUGUACUGAUUAAGUACACCCGCUAAUUAGGACCAAUGGUAUUGGGCCAAGCCCAUAGAUGGGUGAGCUUUAACAUGUAUUGGUCCUUCUGCGAGUUCAGACUGCAGUAGGCCUUUUGACACCCCUCAAAAUUUCUCAUAAAAACCCUUUUAUUGAAAUUGCCUAAAUAACUAAAAUUUAAAUUAAUUCAUUUUUAUUUUGAAUGAAAAUUCAAUUAAAGAUAUAAUAAAUCAUUCUUUUAAUUUUUUUUUACACCGACCCAUUUCAUAAUUUAGAUUAUUAGUAUAGAUUUUAAUUAAACAUAUAUUUCUUGGAGAAAAUUAUUAGACUUUAGAAUUAUGGAUAUAAACUAUAUAAUAAAGAGAAAAUCAUUUCAGAUUUUAGAAUUUUUAUGUAUAUUUUGUAAAUUAAAAAAAUUAAAAGAAAUACUCAUUUGAAGGUGAAAUUUUAUGUGACGAUUUUCUAUAUGGGUUUCUAUUUUUUUUUUUAAUUAAAGCAAAAAUAUGUAAAGAAAUAAUAUUCGAUAGGGGUGCUAUAAGCAUUUUGGACGGGUGUUGAAAGCUCCACUCUUAACACUGCGUCUGGGUUUAAGAGGUUUUAUUUACUUUUGAGCCCAAUUCGGACUUGAUUCUAUUUGCUUCCUCGACUCAAUUUUUAGAGUAUGCGAGGAAUUCGAUCCGCUGAAACCCGACCUAGCAUAAGGGAUAGCUCCUUUUCAUUCAUGCGAAAAGACGUUCGAUUUUUUUUAUGAGAAAAGACGUUCGAUUUUGAGUGUACAUUAGUGAGAUAAGGCCUUUUUUUUUUUUUUUUUUUUUAAAUAUAGAUUCAUUCUAUAGUAAGUCCAAAAAAUCGAAGUUGCACUAUAAAAGAAUUAUUUUGUCCCAACCAAAUAUGAGGCGACCCCAAAAAGAAAAAAUAAUAAUCAUUAAUUUGUUCUCAUAAAUUUUUUUUAUUGUAAAUAUUAGUUUAUUAACGUAAUAUUACACUUACCAAAUAUCAUAAUUUGUUUCUUAUUCCAAGUGGAAUGACAUUAAUUCAAUGAAAGAGAUAUAUUAACUAAAAAUUUAAAGUUGCGAAGGAAUAUAUUUCAACGAAUGAAUUACAGCUCAUUUCUUGAGAUUGAUAAAUUGAAAUAUUGCUUAAAAGGUGUAAUCAUUUUGAAAAACUCUUGUUACCACCGAAAGCACUUUAAUUUAUUUUUUCACCUGUGCUUUAGGGUUAUUUGGGCAAAAUAGGUGGAAAACGUUAAAGCAUUUGAGAGAAGCACUUGUGACAAAAAAAAGUAUUUUCAAAAUUAUAAUUUAAAAAAAAAAACUCCAAAUAUUACUUGAAUAUGGUUUUGUUUUCUUCCAUUGUUUGCUUGCAUAAAACCAUUAUUAUGCUUUCUCAUCACAAUCCUUUGCUGUCUCGUGUUUCUUUAAUAAAAUAUAUCUUAAUGGUUAGUAAUCAUUCAUAAUAGAUAAAAAUGAUUAGUUACAAGAUUCUCAUUGACUAAUGAAAAAUAAAAUUGAAAAUAUAUAUAUAUGUUUAAAUCCAACUCAAAUUCAUUCAUGUCUACUUCACUCCUCUACUCACUAAUACUUUGUACCAUAUUAGGUUUUAUCUCUACGUAAUGUAAAGUGUCUUCAUGCCACAAGUUUGACAAAAAUGCUUACCGCCCCAAAUUUUUAUUCUCAUUAACAUCAAAUGCUGCCGCUAAAGUUUCAUCAAUUCUUCUCCUCCUACACUCAACCACACAAUUCAAGCACCAUCCAUGUCGAUUUUGCCAUGCAUUCUAAAUACUUUUGGCCUUUCUUUCUCUUUCUAUUAAUCGAAAAUUCCUAUGGAGUCAGCAUUGCGUCUGCUAGGCAAAUGGGUUUGCAGAACUCUGAGGAUGCCCCAACUCACUUAAACUUUUUUCGAGCUGCAUUAAGAGGAAGGCAAAGGGUUUUAUCAUGUGCUAAUGAUCCUAAUGUCUGUUCGGAUCGCGAAAAGAACCCGUGGGGUGGCGACACGUGUUGCCUUCGACGGUUCUGUAAAGAUACGUUGAAAGAUUCAGAUAACUGCGGGGGUUGUGGCAAGGCUUGUGGUUACGGGCUUGUUUGUUGUGACGGAAAGUGUGUUGAUGUUCGGAAUGAUCCUCGGCAUUGUGGCUCUUGUUUUGAAGAGUGUCCUGGGAAGAACACAUGUGCUUAUGCAAUGUGUGAUUAUGGUGGCUGAUUGAUGAUGAUGAUGAUUGAUUCAUCAAUAAUAAACUCCUGUAAAAUUUAAGUUCACUCGUGAUGGCUCUGCCAAGAAUUUGGUGUCAGGUUUGUGUCAGUAUGUAUCAUGCAAAUAAGAAGUGUUGUGCUUCGAAAUUGUGUCGAUAUCUAUCAUCUACUUUGCCCUUAUUUUCUUUGGAUGCAUGCAUUUCAUUCAAAUAAUUCGUGUCAAUGGAUCUUUGUAAAAGACAAAUAUUUGUCUGAUUAUUGAUUACAAAAGUUUGAAAUUAAUGUGGGUGAUUCAUCUGAAAGGUUAAAAACCCAUCACUGUAUCGAUAUGACUGUGCUACUGAUUAUUGAAAAGUUGGACUGCGGUGGAACAACUCUGUGAACCAAAGAGCUGUUUCCAAUUUUUUAUUGCAUGUCCUUAAUUUUUCGUUACAAAUAUCAAAUUUUCAUUAUAUUAUAUUAGAGUAUUUCUAAAAAAACUCUUCAAAUAAAAUUUUAUUAUUUAUUUAAAGAGUCGUAUCAGCAUUUAAUACUCCAAAAAAACACCCCAAUUAACAUUAUUCAAAUAAGAAAUGAUUAUCUCUCUUCAAUUUUGUAAAGUUACUUUCUCACUCUUCAAUUUAUAUUUCAUUACUUUGUAUUGGAGAGAAAGAGAGAGAGAGAGAGGUGUUUUAAUUACCAUUUAUUUUUCCUUUGAAAAAAUAUUUAUUUGAUUCAAAUAAUAUUAACUUAUUUAUAUUUGAAGUGCCUUUUAGAGAAUAACAUAUUUUUUCACUCUCCUUUUUACCACAUGGGUAAACAAAUAAAUAUUUAAAGAAUAAAAUUAAUAGAUCCUUUUAAAUAUACUUUUAGUAGUGCCCCCUCUUUGUUUUACCUUUUUUUAUUUGUUGUCGGUAUAUAUUAAUAAUUUUUAAAAUUUUUAACAUACACACAUGCACCAAUCAGAAAUUUUAAAAUAUGAAAAAAUAUAUAAACCAUUAUUAUAUUUAUACACCUUAAAUUUUAAAACCUAUUAAACACAAUGGUUUAAUAGUUUUUUUCAACUUUAAAAUCUAGAAAACUACUAAUACACACACACGUACGCACGUAACAUCCUUGUGUUGAAGACUUUUUCUUGGCUACUUCGACGUGGUCUUUUCAAAUAUGAGACUUUUACUUGAUAGCGACGACGCAACAACGUUAACGUCAUAUAAUUAAUUGUAUAUUUAAUAAAAAUUUUAGGUCAAUUAAAACAUAAUGAUAUUCAAUAAUGCAUACACUAUGGGGGCAUUUAACAUUAAUUGCUUCUGGGUCUGUCUAAGCUAUGACAAAAUGAUUCAAAUAAACUUACUAUUCCCAGUUUAUUUUAUGAUAAAUUUCAAAUUUGUCAGUUUUUUUCUUUCUUUUUAUAUAUAUAUAUCUUCACUUCAUUAAGAUCUCAUCCUAUCGUUUAACAAUUGUUUAAUUUAAAAUUUGAAUAAUACAAUUAUCAGUAGCAUUGCGAUACUAAAUUGAAUCAAGCCAUACAACUGUUGAUAUAACAAUGUCAUUAUGUCACUAAGCAAUUAUAAAAAUGUGAAUUCCAAGUUUUAGAUCCAAACUUGUCGGCGAUGGUGCAUGUAUUGUGAUUAUUAAAUGCAUUGAAGUAAUCAUGAAAAUCGACAGAUUACUGAAAUUAUAAAACUCCCCCUUUCUAAAGUAAAAGAUUACAUCACAAUUAUUCAUAAAAUGGAAUAAUGACCAAUUUUUUUUUUUGGACCAAUAUGGCUAUAUCUUUUUAUGUGCGAUCAAAUCAUUCCAUCACCAUCGGUUCAGUCUGGCCCCAAGCCCUAGCACUGCAAUUUGCAUCUCCAGCGCUUUUCUUUAGGAUAGCAAAAUGUAAAAUCUGUUCUUUACUUACGUUUCUCAUCGGGUUAAUUAUCUUUUAAGUGACAUAUAUUUUGAUAAAUUUUUUUAAAAAUGACAUAUUUUAAAAAUAUUCGAUCAAGUAAUAUUUCGUUAAUUUUUGCCAUUAACUUUAACAAGAUAGUCAAUUAGUUACAAAAAUAACGUCUCUAUCUCUAAAAAUUAGUUAUAAAAUAAUAUUUGUAAAACCCUACAAUUAGUUAUAAAAUGACAUUUAUGCCCUUACUCACUUAUUUUUAAUUUUUUUAAUUUUUAGAUAAAAAAUAAAAAAUAAAAUCUAAGUCUAGUUAAUAGGAUUUUUUUUUUUGUUAAAUCAAACAUUUAAAAAAAAUCUUAUUGAAUCAAGCUAAUUUGUGAACAUAAAGAAACAGAUCUCUUAUAAAUUAUAAAGCAUUAUAUAAAUCUAAUAUUUUUUUAUCUCUGUAGCUUUUACCCUUACACUGUUAAAAUUAACGGUAAAAAUAAAUGUUGCUUGAUUGAGUAUUUUUAAAACAUAUGUUAUCUUUUUAAAGUUUAUGAAAAUAUGAGUGACUAAAAAUAAUUGACCCUUUCUCAACAAUGUGGAGGCAGUACGCUCCCACAUGCCUCCAUGAUAUCUACAAGUCAAAAAUAUCCUUGAUGACUUUUGUUGACAAAAGCCGCCCAUCUUUUGUCACGCAACAGGGUCCAUAUUUGUAUAUCCAACGAUAAAUGCAUGCCAUGGCUAACUAGUCUUAUAAAUUAUUUGAUUGUAAAUAUCAAUAAUUAUCUUGUAUAAUAUAAAUUAUUUUAAUUGAUAUUAGUAUAUCCAAUGAUAAAUGCAUGCCAUGAUUAAUUAGUCGUAUAAAUUGUUUGAUUGUAAGUAUCAAUAAUUAUCUCGUAUAAUAUGAAUUGUUUUAAUCUAAUUGUAAUAUCAAUCUAAAAAAAAAAAAAAAAAGAAGAAAGCCCUCUAUUGCCAUCACAAAAAAUGUGGAAUUUCAUAAUAGCACGAUUCGAUUGCAUUAAAUUGAUGGAUCGUGUCACAAACUGUCAUAUGUAUAUAAAUUAUUAGAGAUUUUGAAAUAAUAUGGCAUCAUUUCUGAAAUCAUACGUGAAUCAAAACUGAAUUAUAACCAAAUAGUUGUGGCUCAGUUGGCAGUGCAAGCUGAGUUUGUGCGAAGAGCUUUCGGGUUUGAUCCCCACUAAACACAUCAUUUGAGAGGGGUAAAAGAACUUUAACUGUGACUACACUCCGAAUCCGGAUUAACCGAGACCCAAUGCGGUCGCGGCACACCGAAUGGUUUAAAAAAAAAAACUGAAUUAUAUAUAUGGUACAAGUACAAUCUUUUUUUUUUUGGGGGCUCGGGGGGUGUUUCGAGAGCAAAUACAAUCUCUUUUCAAAUUCCACACGGUGCAGCCACCAGACACAGGGUGCGUUUGGGAUUGAGGUGCUGUAGCUUUUAAGCUACAGCUGCUGUGAAAAAAAAACUGUAAUUAUGAAACAAAAGUUAAUAAUAUAUAGUAAAUAUAAAUUUUAAAUAAUAAUUUUGAUAAAAUUAUUAAAGAUAUAAUAAAUUUUGUAUUAUACAAGUGAAAAAUCAUAUCAACAUAGCUUAAAAAGCUACAGUAGCUAGUGUUUACCAAACACUUUAGUGCUGUAGCUUUUAAGCUACAGCUGCCCAACCUCAAUCCCAAACGCACCCACAAUCUACCAAGUAAUGACUGGGAAGCACCGUACUAGAAAUGACCUGGAAGAUUUCUAUACGGGCAUGAUGCCUCCACCUUCAAAAGAAAUAAAUAACUAUCCUUUAAUUAAUUUUUUUUUCUUCUAAUUUUCAUACUCCGUUAGUUGCUUUUUAGUUCUAAUUUUCGUAUUUAAUUUCGUAUUAUAUACAAUGAACCAAAGUACAUUGAUUUUUUUUCUUUUUUUAAUGAAGUGCAAUCUAUAGACAUUUACAAUUUAAAAUUUACUGAGAAGUUAAAUUUAUACACUAUAUAGUUCAGAUCAGAAAUCUACCAUGCUUAACUAUAUCUUUAAUUUAAAAUUCAAAAUUUGACAGGACACCUACUACACCAAGAGCCCCGUAUAUAUAGUAUUAGGAAAGAUUGUCAUAUUUCUUUCUAUUGAAAUUAAUAAAUAUACCACUUAUUCCACAUUGUUUUCAUUAUAUCUAUCCAUUGACAUAAAAAAAAAAGGGGAAAAGUGGGGCAAAUUAAUCAUUUUCUAAAUAAUUUCUCUUAAAAAUAUAAAAUAUAUUUAUUAAAAUAAAAUAUUUUAAAAAUAUUUUAAAAAUAAUAAAAAUAUGACAAAAAUAUCUUAUUAUUAUUUUGUAUUCACAAUGAGAUAUUUAUUUAUUUAUUUUACAAUAAAUAUGAAUAAAAAUACAUUUAAAAAUAGAGUAAUAUUAUAAAAUUACCUUGUCAGGAAUUAUUUGACUAAAAUGAAAAUAAUAAAAAUUAAGUGAUAUAUAUAAAUUUCAGUAGGAAAAAAUUGAUAAUCUCUCUAAUAAAUAUUAGUAGUCCAACGUCUCAAACCUUGCAGCAAUAACAAAAAUGAAUAAUGUUUAAAUUUUAAAAAUGUAAUCCGUAAUAAAUUAUGAAGAAAAUGUGCACACUGUAUGAACCAAAACCACACGAAACUUCAUUUGAAAUACUCCCAAGUCCCAAGCCUUUCUUCUUCUAUGCAUAAAAUACGGACACCGAGUCACUUUUUAUCCCAACAGCGGGUUAAAAGAAAAAGAGUAGCUAAAAAACAGAAAAAAGAAAAAAGAAAAAAAGAAAAGAAAAUAUAGUUUUAUUUUCUUCUACAACCGCGUCCCCCCCUUCUCCUUACUUUAUUAACAAGCCAAGCUCACAUUUUCACUUCCACUUUCUCCCAACACAAACACACACACAGCAAAAACACAAAACCUUUCACAAAGCAAAAGCAAUGAUAGGAGACAGACCACACGGCGGCCCGCCCCACGGGGUGUUACUGGCAGUGGUCGUCGGCAUCGUGGUGCUGGUUCCGUUCAUCAUCGGCGACUCCGGCGAGGCCAUAACUGAGUUCAUAGCCGAGCUUUUGAGUCCGGUAGGGCUUCUCUUGCUCCCCAUCAUCUUGCUCCUCACGAUCCAAUUCCUCUCCUCCGAUCGCGGCUCCUUCGUCAACAGCAUUUUCUUCACCGGCGAGCCCGACACCAUUCACAGGGUCAGCGGGUCCCCCGUCGGCGUCGCGCUGUUUCUCGUUUUGAUCUUGUUCUUGCUCUACAAUCGCUUUUCGAUCUUCGGCGGCGAUGACGACUCCGGUGAUUAGUUUUGUUUUGUUCACUUGGAUCUGUGGAUUUAAAAUUUGGUUUUUAUGUUUCUGUGUUCAUUUUAUGAUGUAUUUAGUUUUUGAUACUACGUAGAAAGUUCAUGGGGGGUUUUAAGGGAAGGGUUCUCUGUAAUUUCACGUAAAUACCCAGGUGUUGAAUGUUAUUUGUAGUAUUGGGAUAUAUUCACGUAAUGGAGACUGAGUUUUCUAAUAUUGAAUGACAUAACUGCCCCUGAUGAAUCCCGACUUCUCGGUUGCUAAAUGUUUUGUCGUGCUAGUGCUAGGGGUAUAAUCGUCUUUUAGAUGUGCAGCGGAGCCACCGUCCGUGACCGGCGUUUAAGUUUAACAAUGGUGCGGCUCUCUUUUUCGGCUUCUUUUCUUUUUGUCGUUUAUAGAGAUUCUUUUUGUGCCAUUUGUAUUAUAAUUAUUGUCUAUUGUACCUCGAUUUCUUUGCACUGGCACGUGGGCACGUGGAGCUCUGUUUCUUUUCAUGUUUUAAACCAUUAUUUUGCUGACGUGGUGGCAAGUUUGCAUGGUCAAAAGAAGAGGGUUAGGGCAACAUUCAAGUCAAGUAUUGAAAGUUCAAAAUCAAUGUACUGGCAUGGAGUCUAAAGUAACUGGCGUGUGGGCGAAAAAGCAGUAGCGCGGUUGAACCUGAACCGUAAACUGGUAUUAUAGUCCUUCCGUGAAAAACUAGGGGCCCGUGACAAAUUGGCCACAAUCUGAAAUGAAUUUUUAAAUUGUUGUCCCCAUAGUAUUUAUGUAAUCUCAUAAAUAAUUUUUCAAUCAAAGAUAUCACCAUAUUAAAAUUAAAAAUAAGUUAAAAAAUUUAUAUAUAUACCGCAAUACAACAUUUCAAUGUAAUGUAUAUUUUAUUUUAUAAUACAUUGAACUUUAUUUAUUUUUUUAUUUUUUAACUUAUCCUAAUUUAAAUAUAGUUAGGAAUUAUUGAUUGAAAACUCAUUUCUCAUCAUGUAAUCGGCCAUUGCAUAGACAAACAUCAUAGACUUUAUAAAAAUUAGAACUGACAAAAUGAGUCAUUAGGUUAUGUUCGUAUUACAUCAAAUUUUAUCUAACGCAAACACGAUCCAUUUAAUAAUUGUGUCUAAAUACUAAAUGUCGAACCUGACACAACAAAAUAAUCCGGUUAUCCAACACACCUAUUUAAUAAUAAGAUAAACGUGUCAUCCAACAUGAUACAACAAGUAGCUCGCUUAAUACAUAUUUAACAUGAUUUAGGUCAAACAUUGCACACCCAUUUUACACAAAUUGCACUCAUUUAUAUCUAAAUAGUAUUAUGUAUUGACAUUAUAAAAUAUACGUGUCUACCAAAAUAUAAUACAUUUAUACUAUUAAAGUUUAAAUAUAUUUUGAAUUUUACAAAAUGAAACACUAUAUAAAUAUUCAUCCUUUACCCAAAAAAAAAUAAAAAAAUCAUGUCAAAUAUUUGAAUUUUGAUAACAAGAUUCUACAAAUUAAUUUAAAAUUAAAAACAUAAGUAUAUUUUAAUACAAAUAUCAAUUAGCUUUAGUUAACUAUUUAAAAAUGAUUUCAUCAACCAAGCAAAUAGGUCAAGAAAUUAAAUCUAACCCGAAAGGAAAAAAAAAAUCGUGUUGACCCAAGCCAAACUUAUUUAAUAAACGUGUUUGACUUUCACCACAAAAAAUCUAUUUAUUCAUGUCAAGUAAAUAGAUUGUGUCAAAUUUUGCCAGGUUGAAUGAAAAUGAAAGACAUCCUGAACUACGAGAAAGGAUUUUGUUUAGUUAUAAGCAGUUUAUACAUAACCAUCAGAUAAUUGUAUCAAAAGUUAGUUUAAGUAAACUGCAAGCAAAUUUAAGCUUACUUUAAGUCAACUGCAUGCCUCAUUACCUAAUCAAGGUGCUACCGGCCACCCUGACGGAAAAGCAGCUCCCCACCAACAGGGGGAAAAAAAAGUUAUGGUGAAAGAUCUUAAAGAACAAGAAUGUGCUAUUGAGCGACCACAACAUGUCAAUAUUCAUUGGAGGAUAGUAUCCUUCACCGGUUAACAUCUUUGGAUUAUAUAGUUUGCCAAGAUACAUAAAAGGAGCUUAAUGAAUCUAAUGUACUAAUAAGAUCAAAAUACUGAGAUAUGACACAGAAUCUCAGUGAGAAGGAAACAAAGGCCCACAAUAAAAUCUAAAAGACUUCCAUCAAUCUAAAUAAAAUGUUGCAGUCUCAUUAUUUUUGCUAAACAUUCUCAGCCUCGUCCUAGGCAUAAAACAGAGAAGCUGUGAACAAAACUGCAGCACACUACCCUAAUCAUCAUAUUAUCCAAAUAGACAUGUAAUGGCAUGAAAUGGGUGUUUGAAAACCCUCAUUACCACUUUGGCAUAUGUUGAAAACCAGUCAGCCAUCAAGGGACCCCUUUGGCAGAGGAGUGUGUGGCUUUUGAGCCUUUUCGGGAAUGAAAAGCAACUGAUAGGCCUGGGUCACCUCUUUGGAACUCAACCCCACAACUUGUCUUAUCUACCAACCAUUUACCUUGGAUCCAGGCUCAUCGUUCAUAUUUGGUCAAUUAACAUUUCCCAGAUUCUAGUCUUAUUACUCUGUUCAAUCAAGAAACAGUAAGUGUUAAUCCAAACAAUAAGAGUAAAUUUAAAAAAUAAGUUUAUAUUAUCAUGCCAACAAGAAAAGGACAUACAUAGACCCACGCAGUCCAAAGCCUGCUGAAAAUAAGGCAGUACACCAAGGAUUGACACAACACACAGCAGUAACCAAAAUUUCACCAUGUACCCAAUAGUAACUAUCUCUUUGAGAGCUAUGACCUACCUACAUUCUUCAUCAUAUAUCUGAGUUCAACUUUUCAAGUGAUUGUUCAUACAAGGCAAGGAGAAAAUCCGCCAUUCUACGCAAAUUUGUUAGUUCUCAUUUGGGAUCAAAAGCGACCUCAUUGUAAGUUACAGAUUUGCUAUGACCGACGUACAUUCUUCAUCAUAUAAUUGAGUUCAAGUGACCAUUCAUAGCAAAGCCAAGAGAAAAUCCCCAUUCUACAUUAACUGCUAGUUUAUUUCUCAUUUGGAAUCUAAAGCACAACCUUAUUACAUAAAUAGCCUGGUUUUUCUGCCAAGAGGACAAAUGCCAAAGUAAGGCAAUUCAAAAGCUUGUUUUCCCUCUUGCCAAUUGCCUUACAAUAUGGUGAGGGUCGCAUCAGUCUCCAAAUUUAGAGAACAGAUAAACUAGUAUCAACUUAUAAAAUUGGUUAGUUGCACCAAAAAAACUUUAAAACACGUAUUUUCAUAUUUUGUAUGAAACUAGAAGGAAAAUCAGGUACUGCUUCGCAUCUCCUUCCUACACUAACCGAACACCUACUAUUUGGAUUUAUGGAGAUAUUCAGCAUCAUUGCACUGAGUUCACACAAUAGAAUUAUAUAUGCAAAGGAUCUUACCUUCAUGCUAGUCCAGAUUUUCUAGUUUAUUACAAUGAGGUGUUGGCAGAUUCUUAUUCCAACGACGCUUCUGGAGCUCUACAUGGCAAUACCGCCAAAGCAAAUUUCUGUAAUCCUUGAUCACAUUGUCCUCAAUAACAGCACGAGCAGAACUACCAUGAGGAAAGUUCUCAUCAAAUGAUGCUGGUGAUUUGACAUAAAAUUCUAUUCCAUGCUUUUCAGUUGUCCUAGGAAUCUGAUAAUUAAAAUUCCGAUGCAAAGAGUAAUCUGGCUCAGAAUAGGGAAGGUAAGCAAGCAAGAAUAUCAACAAAAAUGGCAAUAUCUGAAGAAGGAACACAAAAUUAAGUCCAGCUCCAUGAAACUCCUCCCUCUCUUGGCUUCUCAUCCCUCUAGUUCUAUAAACACGAGUUGUUCGAAACAUAUCUUGUUGACCAAAGAAUGACCUGAAUAUCUCAUCAGGAUCUAAUUCAUCAUCAAAAAAGUCAUGCUGAGCUCUUCUCCUCCUUGGCCUAACGUUAUGCCGCUGGUUAUGCUCAAAUUCAUCAACCAAACCUACAUGAUCAUAAUGCCUUCUUGAAUCAUCAUCACUCAAGCACUUAAAUGCCUUGCACACUUUCUUAAACGCUUCCUCCGAACCUGGAGCCUUAUUCUUAUCUGGGUGAACUUUCAAAGAGAGUUUCCUAUAUGCCUUCCUAAUCUCCUCAACCGAACAACUUCUCUCCACACCAAGAAUCGCAUAAUAGUCCUUGUUCCUCUUAAUCUGCCUAAUCAACUCAACAUGUUCUUCCGUAUAACUCCUCUCCCCACUCAAACCCUCACCAAGUUUCUCCAAACCAGGCUUACUCCUUUGAUCAUCUAAUCGCUUCUCAUCAGCAGAAGACACAUUUGGCCCGGAGUCACCCACACCAAGCUUCUCACAAGCAGCCAAAACCUCAUGAACAGACAAAUUAUCGUUCAGCCGUUGCGCAAUUUUGAUAAAUUUCAACGCCCGUUGUUUUUUACCGGACGCAAUCGCUUCUUCAGCGAUACGAAUGCAUCUCAAAGCCUCAUCUUUGUUACCAUCCAUAAUUCACCCAGUGCUUGCUUCAAGACAUUCCAAUCAAUUACUCAGUUCUAUCAGAAUUAAAGGUAAAGCAAAAUUAAUACUUCUAUUUUUAAAAUAUUAUGCGAAUAUAUUAAUAGAACGAUAAUACAAUAAAUCCAAGCAUGUAAUUUCGAGAAUUUAGGUUAAUGAUAAAUAGAAUGAGCAUGAGAUUAAGACAAUUCAAUAACAGAAAUGAGAUUUACCUGAUACAGAUAUCGAAUCGAAGUGUCGUAACAGAGAGAGGAUUCAGGAGAAGCGGAGCGCAAGGAGAUGCGACGCGAAUUAUGUAUUUGGUUGGUAUGCCACGUCAUCAGUGAUUUUGGUCAUGCUUCAAAUAGGAGCAUGCCACGUCAGAGUGCGAACCGGUUAAAUUGUCUCUUCAGUAUUGUUCUUGGAUUUGACUAAAUUAUGCAAACAUCAUUUUCCAAUAACCGGACUAAUCCGAAAAGGAAAAGUAUACUAAAAAAUAUUUAUUUUUCUACAAUUGUUAUUUUCAGUAAUUUACAGAAAUCGUCAGAAUAAGAGUUCAUUGAAAGAAAUAAUUUUUUUUUCUUACUUUCAUAGCUUAGAAGGAUCAUUUUGAAUAAUAAUUCGAGGAAAAAUGGUAGGCCAAGUUGAUGCAAAUCAAUCACAGUUCAACGUAUAUAUGAUCCAAAAUUGUUUAUUAGAAUUAUUAAUGAAUCAGAAAUGUGUCCUACUGUCUAAUUAACAACAAUUAGAGUUUUAAAACAUUACAUUUUUUGGUUUUUAAAAUCCAGUAACUUAAUACAUUAUACAUGUGUCAGUGUUAGUAUGUACACAACACGAGAGCAUCUAGUUAGGCUUAUGCCCAGAUAUGAAAAAAAAAAAAAAAAAAUUUACAAAGACAUCAGUUGUCAUCAUCUGAAUCAAAAGCCUUUCUACUUCUCAAAGAUUCCAAGAUAUCUAAAGGCCGAUCAUUUCGAGCAUGGCUUCCUCCUUGGGUAGUCUUGAGUUUAGGCACACUCAUGGAACUGAGUGGUGGUGUGUUUGUGUGAGCUUCCUUGAGCACAGACCGAGCAGUGGCUGCUGCAGCAGCUUGAGCUGCAUGAUCUGUCUUGGCUGAUUCGUACUUCUGCAUAUCAUAAAUGAGUUCUUUUUGAAGCAGUUUAUCGGCAACCAAUAUGUCAUCAAUCUCAUUUUUGUAGUCUUUGAGGAUAAUUCUCAGGCAGUCCAUUAGUGAGCCUGUGAGGGGACUGUUCUUGCUCUCUAGUAGUCUUUUAAGUUCUAUGAAGAUGGGGAUGGUGUUUUGGAUUAGCCCUUUUCUUACUGCUUGUGUAAUAGCUCUUCCUUUAGCAGCAGCUGCUGAUGCUCCAGCUUCUCCAGCUUCUUCCUCUAUUUCUGCAGUCGCAGAUGCUGACCCUCGGGCAGGAGUAAUCCGAAUCUCUUUGCAGGCAAGAAUUUGGAAAGCAUCCUGCUUGGAAACAGGACAUAAACACUUUCAUUUUGUUACAUAACAUAUGCUUACUUGCAGUUUAUGACUGUACAAGGGAUUAGUACCUGUAGAACGGAUUGCCCAGUAACAUCUUCAAUAUUGAGCAUGCCAUCCGAGACUGAAGCAAGAAUCUCUGCACAUAACUUUGCAAAUGUGGCUAAAAGGUGCUCUGGAGCCAUUUGCUUCAGCAAAGAGACAUAGAUGUGCAUUCUUUUAGACCUGGACCGUUCAUCAUUUCCCCUGAAAAGAAUGAUCCAUGCAUGGUAAUGACUGAGCAUCUCAGCAGCAGAGCUACCUAGUUGCUAAAUAUAAUGACAUCUACCUGAUGGAAAACAAUUGACGUUCAGUUCGUGAACCCUUGGAAUCAUUGUGACCGGCAUGGGCAUGGCAAUCAUUCAGGACAAAAAUGGCUUCCACAAAACUGUUGUAAGCUAGAAGUGGAGCCUUGGCUGCAAUCACAUUGUACACAAUGAUCAGAGCCCAGAUAACAUACAUCAACAAUCUCUAUGACAGAGCGAAUCUGAUAUGUCGAGAAUAUAACCUUUUAGGAUGUUCCCAAAUAGAAAAUCAGCAAGUUGUCUUAUCUUUUCUGAUUCAUCAACCAACGACAAAAGAAAACGAAGGAAUAGCACCCCCCUCCAUUUCACAUAGUCCCUCUGAACAUGAAAAUUUUACAAUAAUUAGAAAAGUUUUCUGUAUUCUUAUUGAUCUUCAAAUGGAAAUGUGAGAAUAAUAUCCAAACGAAAUAACAGAAAUUUACCUGUAACAAUCUUGAAAGCAGAAUAAAUGUCUGCCUUCUUACUAGUUCACAUUGAUCACGGAGACACAGAGAGAUCUUCGCCAUGUAGCUGUCAACUUCAAGAAUUACUAAUCAGAAUAGCACAGAGAUUAUUAUACUCUUUCUAAAAAAUUUAACCAAUCCUUAAUAGUUUAAAUAUCAGCACAGUUCUUUUCUAUUAACUUUCUACAGGCCUCACCAAUCAACCAGAGCAGUAUAGCGAACACAAAAAUCUGCCAUCAUUACUACAAGAUUAUUGCGAAGGGCUGCACAAUCACUCUUUUCAAGCUCCUACAAGAACACGUGAAUAGUAAGCAUUUUAAAUAUAGUGUCGAAUUUGUGGUUUAAGAAAUUGAGUAUCGUUUUUAUGAGUUGUUUAUGAGAGUCAUCUAAGACUUGGAUAAAUGCAAUGAUAAGAUGAUGAACAAACCUUCACAAACAGCGGAAUAUAUCUCUUUGCGAGUUUGUCAUCUGCCAGGCAUAACUUCCCCAUUGUCAACCAUGCUUGAAUAUAAAAUGAAGGAGCAAUCUGUUUCAGAGAGACUGUAGGCCCUGGUAAUUUAUUCAACUUUGGAUCAGAACUUCCCGAAGCUAUGAUUGUGUGUAAUAGUGGAGUAAUGGAGCUCAAAUCAACAGUGGGACAAACAAUAAUCAAAGAGCCAAUAGUAUAAACUGCAGUGACUGCUUCUGACAAUGAUCUCGACAAUGCCACUGCUUUCUUGCCCCUUCUGUUGCUUCUAGGUGGUGUAAAGAAACUAUUACCAUUAUUGGCUUCUGAAAUGUUUGAAAUGUACUUUUCUAAAAUUAGUGAAGCUUUCGAGAGAAUCUGUUUUACCCAUUUCAAAACAAGCAUAUCAGCUUCCUCAGGAUUUGAAGCCUUUCGUUUGCAUAAUGUUCUAAGAGCUUUUACAUGAGCGUUAACCUGCCAUAAAAGAUUCUUAUGUGUAAAUUGGUCAAAUACACAAACUAAGCAAAGGAGAAAACAAUAAAUCCCAUUACUUGGCUGGCCCUAUGAAAGUAGCACUAUGACCAUCAAGCCAUGCUAGUGGCAAUAUAGUAUAUAACUCAAUACUAGAGCUAAUAGAUAAUAAAACUAGAGAAGCAAAGCUGCUUCUAUCACCCGGUCAAAGUACCAAAAUGGUUUAUACCUCUGUUGGAUGCAUGUUGAAUCCUUCAAUUUGCUUAAGCAAGUUAUGAGCUAAAUCAGCAGCAGGUUCAGGGGGCAGCUCCACAGAAACAUUGGAGAUUGUUUGAAGGAGAUAAACACGAUCGCCAGCCCAUGAAACAGAAUUGGAUACUAUCCCCUCUGUAUCUUCAUGGUCAUAUCUUGGUGCAAGUGGGCUUUUAAAGUCACCUUGUGAUCCAUACUUGUCAAGUAGCUGCCAAUGGUGAUGAAGGAAUUCCCAGUCCACUGCUUUUGGAAGAUAUGCUGACACCUCUGAUAGAAGGAGCCAAGCACCAGGUGGUGCUGUCCACCUUUUGAUUGACACGUGAUGGCUCAACCAGAUAGCUUCAGAUGAUCUUAUAAUAUUCUGAAGUGCAAGUGCAAUAUUGGGCUUCAGUCUUUUCUUCUUCCCCAGGCUGGUGCAGAUUUUCUUCACCCAAGGCGACACCUCUCCAUUACAGAUCUCUUUCAAAAGAGGCAAAACCCCUUCAGGGACUUCUAAACUUUUCCCUUUCACAUUCAAGUUGUAUUGAAUGGAUCCAGCAGCUGCAGAUCUUGAUAUCCGGUCCAAUACCAGCUCAAGGAACAGGUUCUCACAUUCUUCUUGAAUGCUAGACUCAUUGUCAGUUAUUAAACGCGGAAUGGAAUGAAGCCACUCAACCGUAAGACUUUCAUCAGAAAAUGUUCUGAAUGCCUACAAAGUCAAUAAGGAUCUAGAAUGAGAUUUAGAGAUAUAUAUUAGAAGACAUGAGAAAGAAAAGAGAAACCUUUUAGCUGGAUAAGAAAACCAUGGAAACUCAUCGAGAAGAGCUGUUUCAGCGGAUCUUAAAUAAUACUAAUCAUGCCGUUUUCAAAAAUAAAAUAUUACUAUUAACCAACAAACAAAACCAUUUGUUUCAGAAAAAAAUAAUAAUAUUUAGUAAUCUACCUGUUUAAAGAAAGGGUUAAAUGAUUGAAAAACAAGACGCGGAAAAGAUGAGGGAAACUCCCAAAAUAAUAAUAAUAAUAACUUGAAAAAGUCAGAGCUAAGAAUUGCAAGUAGUUGUAGAUGACCAUGAUCUACCCAGCUUUUACAAGGCAUCAGAAGCCAAUACCAUCUCAUGUAUACACCUUUCUAUUGGACAACUAAGCAAAAUUACUUAAAUGAGGAAACUUUAAAUUUACAUAAAGCUAAACAAAAGACUAACCUCUGAAAGAGCAGAAAUUGCUGCUUUCCUAAUGCUAACAAGUGGAUCAGAACAAGACAUGCCAAUUGUCUUGAGCAAAAUCCCAUCAACAGAGCCAUCAAAAAGGCCUAUCAACUUGCUAACUAGAAGAAGUGCUGCCUUUUUAACAAUUGCCUUCUCAUCCAUACAUCUUUUCUUUAAAAGGUCAUUCAUUUGACCGUCCCCAAACUUCAGUAGUUUCUUCAAAAUCACCCUAUUCCUAUCAUCACUUGACAAAAACCCCACCAACUGCGCCAAAUUUGACAAAGCUCGAGCUCGAAUUACAGCACUAGAAUCUGAGCAACGCUCAAUUAAAGCCUCCAAACAACUCAAACCCCAGGAGUGACUAUCUUCACAGUCCAGCUCCACUCCCAAUGGAUCUCUCAUCGACGUCAUUAGCAUUAAUAUCAGAUCAACUGCAACUAGCCUAAGAUUAGCCUUACCUUUAGUCAGCUUAACAGUGUAUUCAACAAACCCCAUUUGAUCCUCAAGCUCCAUUGCUUUAACAAUCUCCAUAAUUGCCUCCACAGCUAAUCCCCUCAGCUCAGCCUUCUCCGGGGCCUUGUUCACCAAGUACUUCGGCAAAUUCACAACCGCCUUCCUGACCCCGUCGCUCUCUUUAGACACACCCAUCACUCCAUUCAUCAAAAAUCCUAAUGCAAAACUCCUCGCUUGACAUUUGCCCAUCAAAAUCAAUGGCACUAACGACUUCAAAACCUCUGCAGCUGUACUCAUCACAUCACCAUGCUCCCCCCUCAACAACUUAAUCAAAAUCCCUGAACACAAAACAUUUAAUUUCUCAUAACCUCCCAAUUCAAGCAAUGAAACCGGAAUCUCAACAACACUCUGUAUCAAAGACUUCAAACAAUCCGGAAACCUAUUCAAAUAAACCAACUCCACAACAAAUUCCAACUUCUCAACAACCAAACACAAACUCCUAGCAUCAAAUCCACCCUCGCUCUCAUCCUCGUUAAAUUCAUUCGCCCGCUGAACCCGCCUGCCACCACCUUUUCUUUUGUGGUUAACACUAGGGUGGGACCCGCUAUCAGACACGUGCUUAAAACUUUUGAGGGAGCUGCGAAUGGAGCGGAGAAGGGAGAGGAACGCCAUGGGAGUGAACAGAGUGAAGACAGGGGAGUUCGGGGAGAGAAGCAAUGAAAGGUAAAUUUUGGAGGCCAAGAGGGAGAGAUUGGUGGGGCCCGCAUCCAUGGCGCAGGAAAUUGGAGGAAUAAGAGAGGAUAAAGAGAGUUUUUUGGAGGAGAGUUGAUCGGUGAAUCGGUAAAGGGUGUCUGGGUCAUUUGAUUGUAAGAGGGAUUCGAGUUCGAGGAGAGUGGAAUGAGAAAUGGGUGUCGUUUGAUUUUGACUUAGGGUUUCUUCGAAAUCAGUGAUGAUUCUUGCUAUGAUUGCUUCUUCUUCUGCCAUUGUUGUGGGUGUUGUUUGGAUUUGGCAAACUGGUUGGGAGACUGGGGAUUCUGCUAUUAACAAAAUGUUUCGAAUUUUGGGUUUUCCCGCCUAAACGGUGGAUUUUGACUAUCCGAAGACCAAAAACGCCGCCGUACUUAAAAAGUGACUUGGGGUCAAGGGACAGGCGUAUCCCCCGACCCCAAGUAUCGAAAAUUUGACAAAUUGAACCCAAUAUUUCAGGACUAUCCAACUAGACCCCUCCACUUAUAUCCUGUUACAUUCGGUCCAUCCUGAAAGUUGACACCAUCGGAACUUUUAGAUCUCCUCGAGGAGAUUGGUAGUCUAGCAAGUAGCUACCGAGCAAGCAACAGGGGAUUACUAACAGAAAUUACUGAUGGAGGUUCUCUUGGGUAUUUUAGAAAACCACACUGGCUGGCAGCUGCUGCCACAGUGUCUAUUCACUACCUGUAAAAUAAAGAAAAUGAUCAAAGAACUGAAUCUCCCCAAGUAGUAUGAGAUCCACUCACAAAUCUAUGUGUCAAAUUCAACUAUUUCAUCCGAGAAUCCAGCUAUUGCUAGCCAGGCAGCAGAUUUUCCAGAAAUAAAAAUUAAACAUACCCUCAAGCAAAGAUCAAAUUUACCUAAUAAGUUAUAAACCAAAUUAAUCACAAAGUCAUAAAUGCAACUGAUAAAUGGUCCCAGUUUGCCAGGGCCAAAAACAAACUCCAGGCCCUCAUUAUAUCAAGCAGAAUAGCAAUGUUUUUGCAGCUGCUGUUCAAUUAUUCAAGCACCUCAGCCUGCGGGUUCAAUUAUUGAAGGAUAUAGUUUGGUUCCAUGGAAUAUUAAAAACAUGCUUAUACUGCAUGAUUUUCAGCCAGCUGCAUGAUAUGCCAGGCACCUAAUUAUGAGGAGCCCGAAUAGGAUGACAUGGACCAAUGUCAUCUGGGAAAAUUUGGAAAGGUGCAAUUUCUUCCUCAUAAUGGCAAUGGACCAGAUUUGCUGCCUCUGGCUCCUGGUUGUUCUGAAUGGAAAAACUCAAGAAAGAAUCACCAUGAACUGCUGCUGCAUGGUAAUUAUGAAUGGUUGAAGUCGAGGCAGGCACAUGGUGAACAACCUGAAGUGGUGGUGAUGGUACGUGCUCUGCUGGAAGCCAGCCCAACAAGCCAUUAGAUCUCCUCCUGCCAGAUGAAAAGUUACCACAACGCCAGGUGAUUGAAUUACUUGGGCAAUAAAUUGCAUGCAUCAAUAAAUCAUUAUAAUUGAUUAUUUAUGCUAUUACUGGAAAACCAAGUGAAGAAUCAGCAGAACUACAACACCAAGAUUAAAUAGAUAAGCUGUAUGCAAGGAUGCAAUAAGAAAUGAAAAGAAACAUUGAAGGAAAGGCAUACUGCGGAUUUUUACAAAUGGAGGAAUUUUUCAUCUUUAUAUGGACCUCCAUAGAGAUUAUCAGAAGAUUGAAUACCUUAUAGUCUAAUACUAGUUAAGGAUAAGGGCAUUAAAAACCAAUGUCAAGCAUGAUCAAAGCAGUUAAACUUCCAUUAUUUUACAUUUUCGGUUAACAUAAAAAUCAGGGAAUAACAGUCUGAAUGUCUGAUAUAAAAAUGGAAUUAAAUAUCACCAUCAGGAACUUGGUGGAUCAGUUUAAUGGCAAUUUCCAAAUUUUACUUGCAAGGUUGUACAGAAUCUAGUGAAACUUACCUGGGUUGAAGAAUAGCCCCCUGACCAACGGACACAAAAUUUCGCAGACCACCAGCACCAUACUGGGCAGCUCUCUGAGCAGCUGAUGCAACAAAAGGCUGGUUGGCACCAAUAAAAUUGCCACACAUCGAAGUGAAAACAGCUUGAUGGAUUGGUUCGUGACCAUGAAAGAUAACUCGAGAAGUAGAAAUCUCACUGAUCAUGGGUGGACCAUACAGGUGAUGAUUGGCAGUAAAAAUGGGACAAUCACGAUCUGCAUCGACGGAAAGUAAAUGUUUAUUAUAGUGUCAUGACAAGUGAACCAUUCAAUUUCAUGAUCACCAGCAUAGCGGAAAAGAAAAAGAUUCCAACAACUUACGCCCCAGUAAUGGAAACUCUGUUACCCUGCAAGAUUUCCAAAAAAGAAAAAAAAAAACACAAUUGAGACAGAGGAGCCAUAACAAACAUGGUAUGAGGGUCCAGGAUAGGGGCAUCAGUGAUUCAUAGAUGACAUAAUAUGCUUACCGUUGAAAACCAGGACCCCAGUCAUUAUGUCCAACACAUUGCUGAGGUAUCUGUAAACAAAAUCACACCAUGAGAAACAAAAAGCAAACACCAAUUAUCAGUCAAAGGCACAAACAAUGACACAUAGACCUCUUCAUUCACGCACACAAAGAAUGAGAUAUAUAUCAAGAAAGAGAAAGGGGGAAAGAGAUAUCUUAUAUGUUAUUAAAAACAGCAGUAUAUCUUGGGAGAAAGUCUUGCAAAUAAAUAUAGUAGAUCUGUGAAAGUGACAUACAGUAGUAUAGUAGCACUUUGAUACCUAUAGCAGAAUGAGGAAAUAUAUAAAGCCACAAUAAUCACAUAAUAAAUGUUUUAUUUUUAUUUUUUUGGGUAAAUUUUGACAUCAAGAGAAUAACCACAUGAUCAAGAGGGAUAAAGUCUGAUCACCAGAGACAACCCUAAAUAAUUACGUAGCAAGAUGGAGAUAGGAGGCCCUAAAUGAUCACUCAGUAAUAAAAUGAGGUAAGGGUAUGGAUAUGAUCAAGAGGUUUGGCUAGAAUCAGUUAUCUCUUAAUGAAGGUAUAGUGUUCAGAUCAGGUGCAACUGAGCUGAAGGGGGGACGGUCUGAAAGUGAUCUAUUAAAGACAAGUCACUUUCUAAUCAAUGCUCAGAGUUUCUUGCUC
rnacentral:lncRNA from 1 species